rnacentral:lncRNA from 1 species
GCAGAAUCAGUUGGCUAUGAUGGCAAAUUUGAAGCUUCUGCAGAUGGAGGAUGUGUUUGCACCACAGUAAUUGUGUACCACACAAAAGGUGAUUAUGUUGUUACUGAGGAAGAACACAAUGUGCACAAAGAGAAAGCCAGUGACCUUAUCAAGGCCAUCGAAGCAUACCUCCUCGCCAAUCCUUCUAUAUAUGCUUAAGCCAAUGACUUUGUUGUCACGUUAUAUAACAAAUAAUUAUUAAAUGUGUCAUGUUCAAGAAGUUUAAAGUUUUACGUGAAACCAAAAAAUCAGAUUGAUUAUGUAUGGGGGGUGUAUCAAUUCCUCUAAGGGCUUAAGUUUUAAGUGUUAUUGUAUUUUGUUGAGUGUAUGUUUUUUUUUCCGAUUGUUUUUCAUGGAAAGAACUUUCAAUAAAGAAUAUCACAAGUUUACUUUUCAAAUGCUUGUCCUAAAACUCACAUGUCUAGUUCUAUCAGAGAGGUGGAUUCAUAAUUUGAAUUUUAGAAAUUUAUGAAAUUUGUAGUUAUAGUUCAUUUCAAUCAAAUUCAUUUUAGCAUAAAUAACUUUUAAGUCAAUUUUAUUCCAAUAAAUUUAUUAACUCAGUUCAUAUUGAUUCGCUCAAAUUCAACUCAACACUUUCAUUUGAUACUUUUUGUUCGAAUUUAAAUUUUUUAAUAAAAAAUGAAGAAAUAUUCAUCAGUACACGCAAUCAAUGAACCAACGAUAUGUUAGUAAGCAUGAUCAAUUGGUGUUUUGGCUUGGCCGCCUGACAUUAUUUCCAUCUAUAAUAAGUUACAUCUGCUGACUUAUUAUGCUUACAAGUCAAUUUCUUUUGAUAUUUCCAUACUUUGAAGUUGUCAAAGUUCAACAUUAAGGGAUCGUUUGGUAAUUGGUUUGGAGAAAGUUAUGCAGAUAUAAAAUUUUGUUUACAUUUGAUGAUUAAAUAUGAGGCAUAUUAUUUGUGUAUAUAAUUAUUAUGUUGUUUGGUUUGCAAUUUAGAAACUCACAUAAUUAAUAUAUGUACUAGUUAUGAAGGAAUUUAUGUUUCGUAUGUAAAAUAGAAUGUGGAAUAAGUAAUACAUGUAUAAAUACGUAAAUAACUAAUCUUUGCAUAAUUAAUACCUGCAUAAAUUUUUUCAUGACUAAUUUUUACCCCUCCGUUCAUUUUUAUUUUUCAUAUUUUGACUUGACAUACCUAUUAAGAAAACAAUGAUUAGUAUUGUAACUUUAUCAUAUUACAUCUAUUAAUUGAUGUUUAGUACUCUCUCUAUCGCAUUUUAGUUGGACACAUUUCGUUUUAAUGGUGAUUAUGAAAUCAUUUUUAGUAUGAUGAACAACUAAAAUUGAAAGGAGGGAGUAAAAGGUAUUGAUGAAUAAUUUGGAGAAUAAGUAAUUAAUGUUAAGAGUAAAAUAUGAAAAAAGAAAGGAAAAAUUACCUAAACGAACAACUUAAGUUUCUAAACUACUAAAAAUCUCUCCACUUCUAAAAUAUUACAUAUAUUCCAACAUUUACUAUUUUUACUAAAAGUUGAGAUACAUCUUUAAACCUCCUAUUCAUACGCCGUUCCUUUACCAAAACUUAUCCGAUUUCUUCCUCACUUUACACCUUAAUUUGAGCAGCAGUUUCAAUCCAAUUUCUCCCUCUAAUUCAAACCUUUGAAUUAAGAUAAAUUUUUUCCUAAAAUCAUAUUCAAUUUUCAUCUAAUCUUAUUUUACGUUUUUUUUUUCAAAAAAAAAAUUUCCCCUGCAUUUACAAAGCAAUUUUUCAGUGUUUUUGUUGAGCAAAUUCUUUGAUUAUCGUUUUUUUAGUCUAUAUUAUUUUGAAUUAACAUUAUGAAUAGAGAUUUGGAACCAUCUUUUAAUCUUGGAUUCUCUCAAUUAGAAAGUAUCAAAGAAUAUGAAGAAGUUGUAAAGUUCGUUCCUAGUAGUUUUGACUACAAAUUUGUUGGUUUUGAUGAAAAUAGAUCCAAGCAUAGAAACGAUUCACAUACUAUGAAGAAAUUGUGGAAAAAACAUACCAAGUAGGAUAAGAAAAAAGAAAUUCAUGGUUCUAAGAAAAGAGGAUCUAACACUUCUGGAAAUAAAGCUCCCGCUAAGAGAAAAAGGGUUUUUGAAGUUAUUUCUUGAGAUGAGCUUCCAAAGGUAUUUGCAUGUUCAGAUUUGUUGAAUAUUAGGCUGAGAUACAUAUUUAGACAUGCAUGAUACAUUUUAAAAUUUCUUGUUUAUGUGGUUCUUUGUUUAUGAUUUUAUAUGUAUCUCGUAUUUUUUUAAGUAGUUUUGAAAUUAACAUAACAAAAGAUACAUGUUUAUAAGAUUAUAGAUACAUAUUGUAUUAUCUUGUAUCAGUUGUCUGAUGUUAAUGCAUCUAUAUGUAUCUCAUGUUGUUUAUCUUUUAUUGAAAUAAGCAUUACAAUAGAUACAUGUUAUUUCAUCCAAGAUACGUAUUGUACUAUCUUGUAUAUAUGAUUACCUGAGUAUGAAAUGUAUCUAGUGUUUUUAAGUAUUAUUGAAAUAAACAAAUAAAAGAUACAUGUUUUUAAGAUUAAACAUAAAUAUUGUAUCAUUUUGUAUAAAUUGUUAUCUGUUUAUGCAUUUAUAUGUAGCUUAAUCAGAUCGAUUUUCUUCUUUGAAAAGAAGUGUUCUGUUUCUGCUUCAAUACUUCGAUGUUCUGAAUGUGAGUUUACUAGUGUAGUUAUUCUGUAUUUGAUUCUAAUUUCGAAUUUUGCAUAAGAAGCUUUGAUUCAGUCCUUGACAUAAUACCGAUUGUUGAUUCUUUGACCAAACUUACUGCCCGAUGUGGACUUUGUAGUGAACGUGCUUCUUUCACCUCGAGGAAGACAGAGGAGACGAGUACGGAGUUGAUUGCAGGAAAAGUAGUCAAAGAGGUUGCUAAAAGUGUUCUGAAGUCUUAGAAGGUUAAAUGCAACUCUAUUUUGUAAUAUAUCAAGCGCCACUAGUCUUUGCAAUAUAAUAGGGGUAUUGAUGCAAUUUUUCCUAUAUGAAGUUUUGCACUUUCAAUAGCUAGGUAGUAAAUAGGUCAUUUGCUUGGAAAUGAUAAGCAACUAUUGUAGUUCCAAGUCUCUCAUCUUUCGAAAUCUUUGAGGAGAGAGUUGCUCGGUGUAUGUGUUGGUGGGAGGUUGUUAAGUUUUCGGUGAAAUAUUUGAGGUGCGAGCAAGUUAUCUUGGAUACCAUAAUUAAAAAUAUACUAUUGUACUUUCAAGUCAUAUUUUGAAAAAUGUUCCCUCAAAGUGAUGAAAGUGAAAUGGCUAUCUAUGAUUAUUAUAUUUAUAGCACUUUUAAUUUCCUUUGUCUUCAUGUUUUUAACUCCAAAUGUGGUUGAUACAAGUGGUUUACUAUGUGUUGUUUAAAAUUUUAAGUAAUGAAUACACAAUUUUGAAUCACAGGAAUUAAAAUUCUUGUCCCAAAUACAUAUUCCAAGUGUAAAAAGAAUAAAAGAUCACAGGCUAUUGGACAACACUACAGAUAAACAAAUGUUGUACUACACACAAAAGCUCUUACAAAAUGUUUCUACCAAAGUACUAGUAGCUACACUGAUUUGCAUCAUCCUAAAUUCACCCUUAUGUUACAAAGUACUAACAAAAGAGACAGAUUACACAGAAGUAACAUAAAUAGAAAAAACACAGAAACAAGAUUGUCUUCCUCUACAUUGUCUUGAAUCUUGAUUAUAUUCAAAGCUCUCUAAAAAAUUGAAUUUAGAUUUUUGAUACUGAUGAUCACAUGUUUUUAGGAUUGUUAUUUACAAGAAUCGAGCUACGUGUCAUUAGAACUUUUGGUAAAGCUUGAUGGCGUGUUUCUUUUCUAUAUUCCUGCAAAAAGAAAACAAAUCUUAAAUCAACUUUUACAAUCAUGUUAAUUUGUUAUUAAAGUUGGACCCUUCUGUAACAAGCAUCCUAUGCAGCAACCAAGUUUUUGUACAACUGGCGUUAUAGAGACGUUUGACUGUAGUGAUAAAAAGGAAAAGAUGCAGCAACUUACCUAAGUUGAUUUCAAUGCUUUCUGAAUAACAGAAUUGUCAAAAGGAUCUUUGGCAAGUUGAACUAGUGUUUUUGCAUCAGAUAGAAGAACAUCAACUAUUGAAAUCGUUCUAGAUUUUUCUGACUCUAUGCAUCUCUCAACAACAUGACUACCACCUCUUUUGAAGGCUAAUGAUAAGUACUGCUUCUCAAGUUGAUUGAAUAUCUUACACAAAAUCUCUUCGUCCCAGAGUUAAAGAACAUGCUGCACAACAUAGUUCCUGUUGUAUAACAACAACAUACACAAAUUCUUAACAUAAAUCAGAAACUAGCCAACAAUAUUAAAGCAUGCUCUUGUCAUUGGCAAAUCAUCUCAUAUCUGCUCUUGACUGUAAGAGAGGUAGUUUAUUACGCGAUUUUGGCACUUGAAAUCAACCUAAUCCAUAUUAGACCUCUGUUAAAGUGAAGGGCAGAUAAAAGACAUUUUGCUUAUGGCGACUAGCAGAUAAAGGAAUCUGUAUAUUAGUACUUACUCCGACAAUUUAAAGAGGUCAGUCCCCCGCCGACAGGAUGCUUUACAUAUCUAAAUACAAUCAUCUGAAUGACAUCUUAGAACAUAGUUGCAAUCAUGCAAAUUAAAAUUCAUAAUAUAUUACAAAAAUAAGAUGUUUCUUAACUUACUGGAAAACAAAAUGAUAGAUACAUAAACUGCACAAUCAUGUACAAUAUGUAUCUUUAACAAUACUCAUAUGUAUCUUUCUUAUGUUUAUAUAGCUAAAACUAAAACAUCACAAGAUACAUAAUUAUGCUCAAAUAUAGCACCACAAAUACAAGAACACGAAAAAUGUAUCAUGAACCCAAAAAAAUAUGUAUCUCGGCCAUAUUAACAUAACUAAAAAGAGUUAUGUCAAAAACUUAUCAAUUUAAAGUUAGAUACAUAAUUCAUUAAACUAGAGACAAUUAACAAAAACUAAUAUGUUAAAAAAGAUACAUACCUUUUCUUGUCUGAUAUUUUCGCAUAGAAGUUGAAGGAAUCUCAAUUGCAUUACGAAUCAACAACAGUACAACAUUACCAUCAACUAUGUAACGAGCCUCAAUUUUUUUCCUGCUUUCUUCAAUUUCCAGUUCUACAACAAUUGUUGAAAGCAGUUUAUCGUACACAUACAUGUUCACUAACAACGAUUCCAUCGCUAUGAUAGCACUCGCAUCUUACAUCGUUAAUCCAAACGUCUGAAUGACGUAAUAACACUUAAAUAUUCAUUGCAAUUACCUCAAACAAAAUCAAUAAAAAAAGGGGCAUAUGAACAAUUUGAGAUCUGGAAACUGAUUAUGGAAAGGAUUUUGUUUUAAAAAAAUGGAAUAACAAACUAAUUACCUUUUUCGUGGGAUAUUAGUGCUCCUUUAUCAUAAUUAGUUUGAUUAAUUGUUAUAUUAAUGCAAGUUUAGCCAUUACAUUCCUUAAAACAUGCUAAUUAGUUUAAUUAUUACAUGUAUCUAUAGGCUGUACCUAAUUGGUAAAUACCAGUAAACAUGUCGUUAUAUAUGUAAUUUUUACAAAAAAAAAUUAUUUUUUCUUGAUUGACAAAAAUGAUAAGUAAAAAUGAAAAUCAAAUUAGGAAAAUAAUGACAAAUAAAUUCGAAUGAAGGGAGUACAUUAUAAAUACCUGUCUAAUUGUAACUAACUAGCAAACGGUGUUUAAUUUAAAAUAGGUCCUAAAUUUGGAUUUUUUUUUAAAAAAAAUUAUAAUCACACAACAAGAGCUAGCAAGGACGGAAUAGAUUAUAUUCAUUGACUCGCGUGAUCCAUGUUUUUAAUAAGAGGUUCGAAAUUUAGCAUCUGAAAAUAAAAAAGAUUUCGUAGAAAUAGUUGUUCUUAAAAAUAAAUUCUUGAGUAUUCAAAUUUAAUCGGGCAAAUACCAAAUAGUAAACAGAAAACCAAAAUAAAAAAAUGAAAGAGACUACACAACAGCUAGCAAUCUGAGAGUGAGGUCACUUUUGUAUCUAUUUUAUGCUUGUUAUAAAUAUUAUUUAUUUAUCAAUAUUUAAAUGACUUAUAACUAACAGUGGUAUAUAUUAGAAUUAUUUUUUUUAUUAUUAUUUCUUAAAAGUUGCAUCCAAUCAAAUAUGAAUAAAUAAAAAUGAACAGAGAAAAUUAAUAUAUUAUUCUCUCCAUUCACAAUAAGUGAAUUGUUGAAAUAUUUUUAGUGUUCAAAAUAAUUGAAUUGUUCACAAUUCAAGAUACAUGUUAGAAUUUUUUUUUUCAAAUUUAUCCUCCAUUAAUUAAAAUUUUGGUUGAAUUCCAAGGUCUUUAAAAGUUGCAGGAGUAGUUUGGUCAUAUCUCCCAUUAAUUAAAAGUUGCAGGUUAGCAGUUGAAAUAAAAGUCUUUCUCUCAAUUUUGAAGAAAAAAAUUGAAAUAGAGUUAAAAGAGAUUUUAGAGUAUGAAUUUUGAUUUUGAAGACUCUAUUGAAAUAGUUCACGAUACUAUCAUGAAUGAAGAUUCGAUUGAAAUAAUUCAAGAUACAAUCAUGAAAGACUCGGUUGAAAAAGUUCAAGACACUAUCGUUGAUGAGUCAUAUAAAACCACUUCUCAUUGAUAUGAACUGUAUUGAACAUGUUGGUAAGCAUACCACGAUCAAGCAUAGAUAUGCAAAAUUGCGACCGACUUAUUUUAUUUUCCUCUUUCAAAUAAGGCUUUAUGGCAUUAGAAUGUCUUUGUAUAUGUCCCGACUUCAAAAAACAAAGUGGUCCUACUCAUAUUCAUGGAACAAGAUAAUGAUCGUAGAGUUGUCCGCUUCCGUCAUCUCAAUUUUCUUUCAACCACAAUUUUUUACUUUUCUUUCAUAUACAUUGUCACCCCUUUUUAACUUCAAAAAAGAUUUGUUUUAAGUUCGAAAGAGCUUUUAUGUUUAAAGUGACAAAAGAUUGAAAAUUUGUUUCAAAAAAAUUAUUUACCUUUUUUAACUCAGAGUCGCCACUUGGCAUAAUGCGGUGUGCCAAGUCACUUGGUGGAGCAUAUCGGCUAAUUUGACAUUACAAAUGUAUAAACCACACAAAAACACAUAAAACAAUUAAUCAAACACACAAAAUAAAACAAAUCCAAAAUAUAGUGUUCAAUCCAAAAUAAAUAAAAACAUGAAAAUAAAUCCUAUCUAACCUACACUAAUCCUAACUACGCUCCUGUGUUUUACCCGAUGCCUUGGGCCUUCAUCACAAACUUCUUCCGCCAACAUAGUACGUCGGGGCAUUCCCCGAUGAAUAAAUACAAUAUGUCUCGGGGCAUUCCCCGUCCAAAUAAAUACAUCUGAAUUAAAUAAGAUAACUAGAAAAAUGUUCAAAACACACAUUUAAACAUUCAAAGCAUUCAAUCAACGCGUUAAGCCUAAAUUUGCCUACCCAAACCUAUAUUACCUAUCCAUUUCAACGCAUCAUGAUUCUAUUACAUUCCGAUAAUAUUCAUGCUCAUUCCAAAAACAACAAUGAACCAAAGUUAAUCUGAAUUUACUAUUUCAUCAAACCGAAAUUCCACCCCAAAUUCUCUUUUCAACCAAAAAUCAACACAUGCUUCGGUUAUCAAAUCAAUUUUUAACUCGAAAUCCAACAUCAGCAACAAAACAUAACAACAAUUAAAGCAUGGUAAUCAUAUGAAUUUCACAUUAGUGACAUCCAACAUCCACCAAAUCAUCCAAUCUCAAACAUAGCCUAUUCAACAAAAGAAGAGAGAAUGGGUUAAAGAAAUGAACCUUUCGAUAUUACGUUGAUAACAGUGUUUAAGAAAACCAAAUCCAAAAGCUCGAAUAGUACCUCAACAACGAACAAACUCUAAACUCGGUAUUGCAAAAAUAUAAACCCGCUACUGACCCUAAUGAAUCGACGGAGACAGACAGAACUACGAAUCCUAGAACAGUACGAAGACCAAAGAAUUGAGUGGGAAGAAACAGAACAAACUCGACCCGUUCACAAAGCUAAAUGCAGAAACUGAUUCAAAACUGGACCAAUUUCAGUGAGGAAUUCAUUAUUGGUCCACGUUUCCCGUCCAAACUUAGUGUUUUCGGCCAAAUUUCCUUGAAAAUCCCACAAAAUAAUGAAGAAAUUUGGACUUUUCAUGAGCUAGUUAACUGGAUGAUGAACCGGAAUCGAUUCUGGUGAAAGUUUUCCCCCCCAAAAAAAAGCUUGGCAAAGGAUCGAACGUUCGCACCAAUCCCCUAUUUCGACCACUCUUUGUCUUCGAGAUCUUCCUCUAUAGCUCUCUCUUCGUGACUCUCUCUCUGCUACUCUCCUCUCUCUCAAUCUCUUCAUUUUUGUAUGUUUUUCCUGUGUUGAGAGUGACGAUGGGGGGGGGGGGGUUUUACUAUUGUCUGUAUAUGCCUAUCAGUUCCCUAUUUCAUAUGUGAGGGUGUGUAAUCUCAGUAGUUCUAUGCAUGAAUAGUACAGAGAAGAAACUAUGUUAUGUGCGUAUUCAGCGAAGUCCUCCCACCCCAAAAAAUGGUUUGUGUAUGGUGUCUAUAUGUACUCAAUGAAGAAAAAACAAAAGGGAAAAGUAGGGUCCAUGAGUGAGGUGUCCUAUGGAAAUUUCCUAGAAGAUGUAUAUUGUUGUGGGAAGCUUUUUAGUCAUAAGUUGGCCUCUCAUUUUGUAUUGUUCUAUUUCUUUUUGGAGAAUAAAAGUGAGGGGGGUCACGUGGAUGGGGUAGGGUAGGAGGGUAUUGGGUGGUGAGGUGUUGUCUUUUAAUUGGAGAGGUUGUUGAUUUGUUAGAAGAUUUUUUUUGUUCUUUUGUGAAGAGAUUAUCACUCAGGGUAGGAUACAUGGUAAGACAAGGGUAAAAAUGGAUAAAAAUAUUUUCGAGAAGGGACAAUAUUACGUGUCUGCAUCAUGCCCCUCUUUGCAUGUAAACAUAAAAUGUUUUCAUACAAAGAAGUAGACAACGAGACCAAAUUUUGACCCAACCAUUAUUCAAAGAAAGAAACAGAAGAAAGAAGAGUAACCGAUACUUGACUUAGGACAUCCUACCUACCCAAGAUAUGAAGGAAUCAAUUGACACGUCUCUCCAAGGAUUGGAAGAACAUGGACUAUACCGAGUUGGAGAGUCGAGUGAGGUCCCGUCGAGGUUCCAGCUCGCGGCUCUGUUAUUACAUCAAAAUGAAAAUUACAAGUUAAAAUAUAAAUAAAAUUGCAAAACUCCUAUCUAUGCAGUUUAUUUUAGACUCUUCACUUGAGUUUCAUCACCCUAUUCUUCAAGCGGGCUCCUGCCUUGCAAUUUUAUCAAUCUAUUGACUUUUACUUUUUCACCUUGCUGCUUGACUUUCAACUUCUUUACCUUAUUGCUUGACUUUUCUUCAUUCGUCGUGUUCUUCAGGCGAGCUCUUGACAAAUGAAAACUGACCAGGAAGUGCAUCUCCCAACAAAUGCCACUUGAAUAUCCCAAGGAAAUAUGUCUCCUUACAAAUGCUUGAAUUACCCAAACAAGGAAGUGCAUCUCCCUAGAAAUAUUGCUGGAAUUUCCCACACAAGGAAGUGCAUCUCCUUACAAAUACUACUUGAAUUACCAAACAAGGAAGUGCGUCUCCUUAUCAAUGUUGCUUGAAUUACCCAGAUAAGGAAGUGAAUCUCCUUACAAAUGUUGUGUGAAUUACCAAACAAGGAAGUGCAUCUCCUCACUAAUGCCGCUUGAAUUACCAAAACAAGAAAGUGCAUCUCCUUACCAAUGCCGCUUGAAUUACCUAAACAAGGAAAUGCAUCUCCUUUGAAAGUGCGUCUCCUUAUAAUACUUCUUGAAUUACCAAACAAAGAAGUGCAUCUCCUUACCAAUGCCGCUUGAAUUACCAAAACAAGGAAGUGUGUCUCCUAACAAAUGUCUCUUGAAUUACCCAAACAAGGAAAUAUGUCUCCUUACCAAUGCCGCUUGAAUUAAACAAACAAGGAAAUGCGUCUCCUCAUAAAUGCCGCUUGAAUUACCCAAACAAGGAAGUGUGUCUCCUUACCAAUGUUGCUUGAAUUAUCAAAUCAAGGAAGUACAUCUCCUCAUAAAUGUCACUUGAAUUGUCCAAAUAAGGAAUUGCAUCUCCUCACAAAUGCUGCUUAAAUUGCCCAAACAGGGAAGUACGUCUCCUCACCAAUGUCGCUUGAAUUACCCAAAAAAUAAAGUGCAUAUCCUCAUAAAUGUCACUUGAAUUAUCCAAAUAAGGAAGUGCGUCUCCUCACAAAUGCUGCUUGAAUUGCCCAAACAGGGAAGUGCAUCUCCUUACAAAUGUCACUCGAAUUACCAAAAUAACGAAGUGUGUUUCCUAGAGAUAUUGGAUUAUGAGUUUUACUAUAGUUUUGAAUACCAAAUCUGUGCAGCAACAUUACCUCUUGCAUUUUUAGAAGUGAGAAUAUUACGGCCUUUGAUGUUUAGGCUUUGAAAGCCUUGAUUCGAAGGUAGCAUGUGUUCCUGUUUCAUAUAAGGAAAACUUGUUAGUCUAAAAACAUGGUGGCUGGUUUGUGGCUUUGGCUUUCGUGGAAAUCGCUCUUGCCCCUAUCAUAUUUAAUCUUUCUUUCAACCAUUAGCAUGUGUCACUGACUUGCUGCAUCAUUGACCCGAACUCAGAUUAUUAAGAGUGACUCUGAAACAGAUACAGUAUCUCAGCUUUUUCGUGCUUCUCAGUUAAACCCUUUGGACCUUUGUAUUUCCAUGAGUUCCCAGACUUUUCGGUUGACAAAAAAUUUUGCAUGCCUUAUUGUGGCUCACAACCAUGUCUCUUUCAUGGGUUGGCCCUUUGUCUUGCUUUGCGCAAUUGAAGAAGCUGGUAGCCAAUUUUGCAAUCUUUUUUCACUUGUUUUGACAUGGACUUGACUCAAAGACAAGAGAAAAAAAAUGAAAAUUAUUUUAUUUGGACAACUGACUAAAGAAAGUAAAAUAAAGAUAAAGAGAAGAAAGAAAAGACAAUGAAUGUCCCCAUUUGAAAUAAAGAAAUGGAAUUUUUUUCUAAAAUGACAAUCAACUCUAAUGAUUAUGUCAUGCAUUUUGGAUUAAUCUGCCUAAUCUUUCCAUCCACACCUUCUACCAGUUGUUGUUAAGUUAACGAUCUUAAAACUAAGUUGCUUCCUUAAGUUAAUUGCAUUUAAGACCUCAUUCGGCUAGUGACACCUUGAAGGAUUUUCGCCAACAAUCCUCUCUCAUUUUUCUCUUAACUUACCAUCACCUUACGAUGCCUGUGAGGGUUUUCACUAAUAAGGAUCUCUCACUUUUACUUCUCUCUUGAUUCCUUAUUCUAAGGAAGACAAGUAGUUCCCUAAAUGCAUCCUCGUAUCCAUUGCAUGUUUAUCCUUAACAUCCUCAAAGAUUGAUUUAAAGGCCAUUCUUUGGUUGUAACUCGACUUUUGGAUAGGCUUAGAAAGAAAGGAUGGCAUGGGGCCCAAACGACACUUGAAGUGGGAUGAAACUUACAACUUUUGGAAUCGACUCAAACAAUGAGGACUAACUCAUGCCCCAGUUCCUUUUGACUGGAAAUUCUAAAUUGUUUAUUUGGUUGGACCAAGCCCAAAGUAGGGCAGCCUACGUAUCCCAUCCUUGAGAGAGGAGAAUCAGGUCACGCGUAGUUCUGACAGCUUGUUCUUUUGCUUGAUUCUUAUUUCUUUUUCUUUUGUACACUCUUUUUCUCUUUGGGACUUUAUUAACUUCAUUUUUCUUGACACUCUUUUUUUAAUUUUUGACAUACUUUUUCUUAUUAUUUUUUGAAAAUUUUUUGACACUAUUCUUUUGCUCGACACCUUUCUUUUUUAGCUUUGUUGACUCUAUCUUGAUUCCAAAAGAGGGAUAUGAAAGAAAUAGAACUAAAGUCAAAUAGGGUAAACAAAGGAUGACACAAUAUUUAGAUAGCAGAAUGAAAUGCCUUCGUUGUAUCAAUCCUUGAAAAUACUAGUACAUAGUAUACAAUGUGAAAGAACAUGAUAAACAUCACUUAUGUGUUUUACAACACUAAAUUUCCCCGAACAUGUGUGUCACCUCUUUUCUAUACUUGUCAAACAUACAACUCCACAUUUGUUGUACAUCCCUCACAUUGAAUGACUCAUCAUGAUUUCAUGGAGUUGAUUUUCUUUCUGUUCCUCUUGAUUGGAUCACGCAGACACUGUUUGACCUAAUUGGGCUAUGUUUUUUAAUUGAUUUUUGAAAGAAGGCUUCAACUUGUCACCAAAUGUCUCAACACUCUACCUAUUUUCUCAGAUGCUUUUCUAACCUUAGCCAUCUGAUUCCAUGUUCAAUGGUUCAAUUAGACUUUAAGAUCUGGCUGAAAAUUCUGCAAGCAUGUCAUAUCACUAGAGUCAACAUAAAUUGUACUGUAUAAAGAAAACAAACAAGCAACAUAUAUUUAAAAUACAAAGGAAAAAGGACAAUUCAUUUAGUUGAAAUAAAAGAUAGAAGGGUUUGAACCUAAACGACAAAAGGACAAAACAAGAUAGAUCCCGAACUACAACCCUGAAAUAAUUCAAAAAAUAGAAAAGAAAACAAAGCAAACUACUAGACCUAUUUCUAGUAGGGAGAGGGGUGACUUAUCAAUUGCUCAGCCUGACAACUUAGCCAUUGAUUUGCAUAUCAGCAUGACUAGAGCUUCCCCCACUCUCAAUGUUCUGCACCAUAAUGGAUUCAUCUUGAAUCAUCUUUUCAAUUUCUCUUUUCAAAUCUCGACAAUCUUCAAUACUAUGACCCUGAGCAUAAGAAUGAUACUCACAUCCUACAUUAGGAUCAAAAUUUCUUGAACGCUGAUUAAGAGUGCACCCAAGGAGAAAAGUGAUUAUGCCCCAUUGUACCAAUCUCUAAAAUAAACUGUCAUACGACUCUCUAAUUGGUGUGAAGCUAUUCCUCGAUUUCUGCCUCAUUUCAUUAUUUGGAUUGGAUCCAAAAUCGGGCCUAGAAAGGCUAUGAUAGAUUUGUAGAGUCGGAGGGUAACUUUGAGGAGUUGAUGUAAGCCAUUAUGAGUAAGAAGGGAGUUAAACAUAUGGUUGUGUCUAGUAUACUAGAUAUGGAGGUGGGGAAAUGGAGUAUAAUGUAUUUUGGGAUAGAUUAUAGAGAGCUUAGGUAUAAACUUGGGCCUGAGAUUGACAGCAACGUCGACGUCGUCUUCUUGGAUAUGCCCGUUUCCCAACUACAAUAACAAUUGUAGAUUUCUCAUUCUUCUUCACUCCAGUUUCAUUUAAUUGAUUGCAAUAUUGUCCCAAAUGUUUCACGGAUUCCUCCUGUCUGUCUUGCUCCUCAAAUUUUGAUAUCUCAAGGCUUAGAGAAGGGUUAACACUUGAAGACAUGCCCCAAUUUUUGUAUGAAACAUCUUCUUUACUCGCAAGUCUUAGGGAACUUUUCACAGCAUUUCUUGCACUUUUCAUUUUUCCAACCAUUUUCUCUGGCUCUUCUGGCACACUAGGCUUCUUGAUAAGAAAUUUUGGUAGUCCAGUUAGCAUAAAAGUAGGCUUAGAAGUAUAGUGAUGAUCACCAAGAGUAUUGAACAAGGGUCCAUUAGUAGCAUGAGGAAGCACAACUGUUGGGCGGUUGGCCAAUAUAGAAGCCUCGGUAGGGGAUUGAGCAAUAAAAUCACAGAUGGCAUGUGGUGUUGUGAAUGAAGCAGGCUUAUACUGAGGAGCUAGAGGAAAAAUGAUGGAAGUAUUGUGAUGUUUUUGGCUUGGAAUGAAUUCUGAGUCAUGUUGUGGUGCAUCAAUAACAGUAGGGCACUGAAUUUGCAAUUUUGGUGAAAACUCGAGGUAUUUGUAGGAUCAAUAGCGAGAAAUGGAGGAGGAGACAACCCACUGGCCUAAGAUUAAUGCAUUUCAUUCAUUUGUUGUCUUAGUCUCCUAAUCUCUUGCUUUAAACUCUCAUUUCCCUGACCCUUUGUUUGAUCCAUGGUGUCACUCUCUAUAUCCUUGUUGGACACAACUAACCCUUUGAAUUUGGUGUGAUGUGGAGGACCAGCCAGAAUGCCACAAACCAACCACCUUAAACUAACUCAACAAAAAGCAACAAAUGUGUUAGAGUUUAACACUUUUUCAAAACCUCUUUUACUUUUUUUUUUAAAAGAUCACCGAACCCAAGAAGGGUGCCUACGUAUCUCACUCCCGAGAGAGGAGAAUCAGGUGUGCGUAGUUCGUGAAGUCUUGCCAAAAUGACCAAUCAAAUUCUUUUCUUUUUCUUAAAACAAAGUGUCAAAAGAAUUGACGAAAAUCUUUUUUGCAUUUUUAAGUUUAAAUCCCUACACAAAAUGAAACCUAUGAUUACCAAAGAAAAAUCUUUUGAAUUUUCAAUUUUGCAUUCGUACGUAAAUAAAACUUGAAACUAUUAAAGGAAAAUCUUUUUAGAGUUUUCUCUUGAAGAUGUAUAUGAAACACCUACUCUAAACGAAGUGUGAAUAAAAUAUUUUUUGGAUUUUUGAAAUAAGAUCAACCAAAAAUGAAACCUACAACUAUUAAGGAAAAUCUUUUUCUACAGUUUUCUUUUUGAGACAUCGUGAAACACCUACUCUAAAUAAAGAGUAACAAAAAUAUUUUGAAUUUUAUAAAUAAGAUAACCCACAAUAGGCUGCCUACGUAUCUCACUCCUGAGAGAAGAGAAUCAGGGGUGCGUAGUUCGUCCAUAUUGGACAAUUAAGGAUUAUAGAACAAACAAAACCUUCACUUGAGAGACACGAGUACUCGAUGAAAAUAAAAUCUUUUUGGGUUUUUAAUAUGACACUUCAUACAAAAAUGACACCAACAACCAUGAAAGAAAAAUCUUUUUGAUAUUUUUGAUAUGAAAUAUACAAAACUUCUACCAUCUUUUUUCGAAUUUUCCUUUUAUAAAAAACUCCUAUUUGAAAAAAAUCUUUUUGAAAUUUUCCAAUUAUGAAUGCAUGAUAAAGGAACAAAAGGAAAAUCUUUUUGAUGUUUUUGAGAAAAUGAGUGCGAAAGGUAAAAAAUCUUUUUAAAAUUUUGAAUUGUGAAGAAAAAAAUCAAAAGCCAUAAAGAACUCUAAAAACUUACGAAACUCUCUCUUUUUUUUUAUCUUUUUGACUCACUUUUUUUUUUCUCUUUUUUUCAACAUUUUCUUGUCUACACACUUUACUUCUAACACAUGCUUUCCCCUAAUCGGUCGGUCAAAUGACCACGUUACAAUCAAAGAUGUAACAUUUAGCACGUAGGAAUGCUUCAGAGGUGAGUCUCCUACAAAGAACCAAGUGGGUCCCGCUAGGUCUCACUGUGAUGUAGAUAAACAUGACAUAAAGGUAGACCUAUAUUGGGGUUUACUGACAAGGUCGUUCGGGGGAGCAUAUGGUUGAUAGUGGCUGCUUUGCUUUCCACCCACUCCAUACGUCUAACGGCUCCCCUUUCUAAAAAUAAGGGUGACUCAACUAGAGUUUGUGUGCACGACGUGCACUCCAGGACUUGUUGCACAUGAUGCCAGACAUAAAGCAGUAACACACAAGAGAAAAACUAUAAACACGUAGAACCUAAGCACUCAACAAUGAUAAAAUAAACACAAAGAAUAACACAAACAAUAUUUAUACACUCAUAAUGUCAAACUAAGCCGAUACAACUCGAAAAAUAAGCUCGAAUUCUGAAAAGUCUCCAGCAGAGUCGGCAGAGCUGUCACACCUCUUUUUAACUUCAAAAAAGAUUCGUUUUAAGUUCGAAAGGGCUUUUAUUGUUAAAAUGAUAAAAAAAUUGAAAAUUUGUUUCGAAAAGAAUUAUUUACCUUUUUUAACUCAGGGUCGCCACUAGGCAUAAUGCGGUGUGCCAAGUCACCAUUGGAAAUCCUUUUUUUGAAAAUAAUUUUGACUCUUUUAAACUGAUCCACAAACAGAGAUUCCGGUUAAGGAAUUCUAUUGACUGAGGGGAAGGUGUUAGGCACCCCUCGAUCCUGUGGUUCGACCACGGCCGCUUGGUGGAGCAUAUCGGCUAAUUUGAUACUACAAAUGUAUAAACCACACAAAAACACAUAAAACAAUCAAUCAAACACAUGAAAUAAAAAAAAUCCAAAAUAUAGCGUUUAGUCUAAUUAUACAGUCCAAAAUAAAUAAAAACAUGAAAAUAAAUCCUAUCUAACCUACACUAAUCCUAACUACGCUCCUGUGCUUUACCCGAUGCCUCGGGCCUUCAUUACAAACGUCUUCCGCCAACAUAGUAUGUUGGGGCAUUCCUCGGUGAAUAAAUACAAUUUGUCUCGGGGCAUUUUCCGGCCAAAUAAAUACAUCUGAAUUAAAUAAAAUAACUAGGAAAAUGUUCAAAAUACAUAUUUAAACAUUCAAAGCAUUUAAUCAAUGUGUUACACCUAAAUUUGCUUACCCGAACCUAUAUUGCCUAUCCAUUUCAACGAUCAUGAUUUUAUUACAUUCCAACAAUAUUCAUGCUCAUUCCGAAAACAACAAUGAACCAAAGUGAAUCUGAAUUCACUAUUUCAUCAAACCGCAAUUCCACCCCAAAUACUUUUUUCAUCAGCCAAUCAACACAUGCUUCAGUUAUUAAAUCAAUUUUGUAACUCGGAAUCCAACAUCAGCAACAUAAAUAUAACGACAAUUAAAGCAUGGUAAUCAUAUGAAUUUCACAUUAAUGACAUCCAAUAUCCACCAAAUCAUCCAAUCUCAAACAUAGCCAAUUCAACAAAAGAAGAGAGAAUGGGUUAAAGAAAUGGACCUUCCGAUAUUACGUUGAUAACAUUGUUUAAGAAAAUUAGAUCUGAAAGCUCGAAUAGCACCUCAACGACGAACAAACUCUAAACUCGGUAUCGCAAAAAUAGAAACCCGCUACUGACCCCAAUGAAUUGAUGGUGACAGACAGAACUACGAAUCCCAGAACAGUACGAAGACCAAAGAAUCGAGUGGAAAGCAACAGAACAACCCCGACCCAUACACAAAGCUAAACGCAGAAAUUGAUUAGAAACUGGACCAAUUUUAGUGAGGAAUUCUCUACUGGUCCACGUUUCUCGGCCAAACUUAGUGUUUUCGGCCAAAUUCCCUUGAAAAUCCCAGAAAAUAAUGAAGAAAUUUGGACUCUUCGUAAGCUGGUUAACCGGAUGAUGAACCGAAAUCGAUUUCGGUAAAACUUUUCCCUCGAAAAAAAAAGCUUGGCAAAGGAUCGAACGUUCGCACUAAUCCCCUAUUCCGAUCACUUUUUGUCUUCUCGAUCUCCCUCUAUAGCUCUCUCUCUUCGUGACUCUCUCUCUCUCUCUCUCUAUUUUUUUUCAUUUUUGUGUAUUUUUCCUGUGUUAAGAGUGAGGGGGCGGGGGGGGGGGGGGGUCGAUUAUCUGUAUAUGCCUAUCAGCUCCCUAUUUUGUAUGAGAGUGUGUGUAAUCUCAGUAGUUCUGUGCGUGAAUGGUGCGGAGAAGAAACUGUGUUAUGUGUGUAUUCAAUGAAGUCUAUGUAUGGUGUCUAUGUGUACUCAAUGAAGAAAAGACAAAAGGAAAAAGUGGGGUCCAUGAGUGAGGUAUCCUAUGGAAGUUUCCUAGAAGAUGUAUAUUGUUGAGGGAAUCAUUUUGGUCAUGAGUUGGCCUCCCAUUUUGUUUUGUUCUGUUUCUCUUUAGAGAAGAAAAGUGAGGGGGUCACGUGGAUGGGGUAGGGUAGGAGGGUAUUGGGUGGUGAGGUGUUGUCUUUUAAUUGGAGAGGUUGUUGAUAUGUUAGAAGUUAUUUUUUGUUUUUUUGUGAAGAGAUUAUCACUCGGGGUAGGAUACAUGGUAAGACGAGGGUAAAAAUGGAUAAAAAUAUUUUCGGGAAGGGACAAAAUUACGUGUCUACAUACACCACUAGAAGCACAUUCACCAUAAUUUGAUAGUCUCCAAAUGCGUUGAAUUGUCUGAAUGAAAAUUGAAAAAUGUGAUGCCACUAUUCUCGUAACUCCUUUUUUUAGUUUACCAUCAACAUUCUUUUAUUGCAACAUUUCAUAUGUUGCAACGCGCGUUUCAUUGCUCAAAUUUUCUUAGUUCUAUUGUGAUUGUGACAAAUCUUUAAUUGAAUUUGCUUAUUAAACAAAAAUGAAUAAAUUUUAUAUAUAAAUUCAAAACUUAUUUUUAAAGAAAGGCAAAAAAAAGAAGAAAAUAAGUCAUAGGGAGCAAUUAUUUAUCACAAUUUAGGUUUAAAUUCUCCGUCGGUUCUUGCAAUCUUACUUCAAAUUGUAUAGCAUUAUCUUCAUUGGAAUUCAAAUUCAAGUUGGGAAUUGACUAUUCAUCAAUAUUGUGAUCUAUUUCACAUUGAGGUCAAAAAACUCAUUUGUAUUACAUUCAAAUGGAAUAUUUAGAUCAAAUGGUACUAUAGCCAUGUUAAGAAUCAUAUUGAAGGUAAAAAAAAAAUUAUAGAAUAAAUUUAGAGGCAAAUGAAAAAUUUUAAUUUAGCUAUAUCUAAAUUUUUAAGUUAUUUUACCUCCAAAAAUUCGUUAGGAGUACCAAUUUUAAAAUUUUUAAGAUUGAAAUGGACCAAAAAAUUUUCUCCAAAAGAUAAAUGUAUGUAGAGGGAGUAAUCAUUAUUAAAGUUUUGAAAUUUGAAAAGGAAAAAAAUGAAAAAACAUGAUAAAUUUAUAUCUUUGUUUUUUGUCUUAAUAUGUGUGUUAAAAUUCAACAAUUCACUUAUUGUGAAACGGAGAAAAUAAUAUUAUAUAAACAUGUAAUAUAAUAAUAAAUAAGGAGCACAUUUUUAUUGACGAAAUGGUCUAUUAAACCCUUGUAUUUGUCCGAAUUUAUUAAAUAGACAUAUCUAAACAGCUUAACCCAUCAAAACACAAAAUACUUAAUCCAUUUUAAUCAUUAACCGAGCUUACGUGACAUUAAAAUAAUUGAGGACAUGUUGCGUGACUACACGCAUUUAGAGCAAGUGAAACACCAAAUUUAUAUUAAAAUUAUAUAAGUAAUACUCCCUCCGUUUCAAAAAAAAAUGAUCUGAUUUGACUUUGCACGGAGUUUAAGAAAAUAAAGAAGACUUUUAAAUCUUAUGAUCUUAAAUAAAAGAUACUUUAAUCUUAUGAUCUUAGGCAUGCCACGUGAAAAGUUAAAAGUAAAAAGUUACUGAAAAUAGAAAAAGAUCAUUCUUUUUUAAAUGAAUUUAAAACGGAGGAAUUAAUUUUUUAAAGAAANNNNNNNNNNNNNNNNNNNNNNNNCCCCCCCCCCCCCCCUCUAAAACUCACCCAUCACCCACCAUUUUUCACUCAUUCUUCUCCACACCUCUUAUUUAUCUUCUUCAUCCCACCCACCCAACUCACUCUUCCCUUUUCUACAAUAACAAUGAUUGAAAACAAAAAAAACUAUAUAUAAAAUUAUUUUAUUUUCAAUAAUUUAGAUGCGCACACUAAAUUCAAAAACCAAAAAAUUAACAUUUCGUUCUUCUUUCAUUAAAGAAAGGCGUCAAUGAUGGAGGUGAUUGAGUUAGUAAUUUGAAGAUUUAAAGGAGAUUAUUCAUGGUGUUGUUGGUGGAGGAAGAAGAAGUCUGAGGAGGAGGAGGAGAUGGUGAGGGGCUGCAUUAAUUCACUGGCCAGUAGUGGUUGACGGUGGUGAAGUAGAACGGGGAAGAUUAAAUUGAAAGUGGGUUUGUGUUUUUUUUGGUAUUGUGAUUGAGAGAAAGUUUGAGUAAUUUUGGAGGGUUUUCAAGUUUUACAGGAACUGUUCCAAUGAAGUUGUUGAGCGAAAGAUGGUGGUUGUGAGUUUGGGUGUAGGGGGAGAAGAAUGAAUUUUUUUUAAAAUUUAUUAUUUUAUUUUUUAUUUAAUAUUAUUAAUUAAUAAUUUUAAAAAAUAAUUAAUGAAAAUAUUUAUGACAUGACAUUAAUUUAUAUGAUGUGAAAAUAACGCAUAAUUUAUAUAGAGCAAGUGUGCUACACAGGAAAGGAGGAAUUUAAAAUCUUAUAUUUUGAUUGAUUAAGGAAUUCACAUGAUAAAUGAGUUAAGUAAAAGUGUCCAUUUUAUAAACUCGAACAAUGAAAAAAAUCUAAAAAAUCAUUUUAUCUUUUUAUUAUAAAUAAAAGUAUCUAUUAAAACAUCAUUAAAUUCAAACUUGUGACCCUAACCUUCAUCUUUGAAUGAAUGAAACUAAAUAAUUUUGAAUAAUAAUAUCCGCAAUUUUGGAAACCAAGUUGAUAGGUUCUCACUGUCAGCAAGCCAUAUUGUUAUUUAUCAUUUGUCAUUAAAAUUCUCUCAAUAAAUAUCACUACUAACAAAUUAAUUAUAGCACAACAUCUAGAAGGAAAAAAAAAAAGGACCCAAAUGUCAACAAUGGAAAGCUUCGAACGUUGAAAUAAAGAUUAAAUUAAGGUUGCUGAUGAGUGAACUCUAAGGGUGUGCUUGGUAUGUAGUAGAAAAAAAUAUUUUCUAUGAAAUAGUUUAUUUUGAAAAAUAAGUGUGAUUUUUGGUGUUUUUAACAAAAAUGUAUAAAAAUAUUAUCCAAUAACAUUUAUAUACUAUUCCCUUUAAUUCAUGUUAGAGAUUUUAAUCAUAUCUUAUAAAGAUAAAGAUACUAUUUUCGAUACACUUUCAACUAAAAUAAAACAUUUUAAAUCAAAUUUUAAAUAAAAAUACAAUAAUAAAGAAACCACGUUACAAAAAGAUUAAGAGAAUAUUUGGACUAAUUAAUCAAUCACGGAAAAAUUUCAAACACACCCUAAAGAGUCUCUCCAUUUUAUCCCUAUAAAUACCAUCAAAACUCCCUUAUGUCAAACACCUCAAAACAUUAUAAUCAUCUUAUCCUAAGCUUUUUUUUAUUUCUUCUUUGUUCAAAGCAAAUUAAUCAAACAUUAUGGGUGUCUAUACCUUUACUAAUGAGACCACUGCCUCAGUUGCCCCAUCAAGGCUAUUCAAAACUUGUGAUAUUCUUUAUUGAAAGUUCUUUCCAUGACAUACAAUUGGAAAACACACUCACACUCAACAAAAGACUAACAAAGUAAAACUCAAUCCAAUGGAAGAAUCAUCUAAAAUUUUGAACUUCUUAGACACAACAACUUUUACUUAUUCAAUUAUAAAAGACACAACAACAAGUAUGACAUCUCUCACGCGUUGACACAAUUUUUUUUUUCAUAACUUAAGCGUAGGCAGAAGGAUUGGCGAGGAGGUACGCUUCGAUGGCCUUGACAAUGUCAUUGGCUCUCCCUUUGUGCACAUUGUGUUCUUCCUCAGUAACAACAUAGUCACCUUUUGUGUGGUACACAGUUACUGUGGUACAUCCUCCAUUUGCAGAACCUUCUAAUUUGGCAUCAUAGUCAACUGAUUCUGCUUUGUCCGCAAGAACAUCACCUUCGAUAAGUGAAUAUUUUGUUACUAAGUUCUGUUCAUCAAUCACAUCAAUCUUGUGCCUCAAGUACUUCAUUGGACCACCUGUCAUUAACCAAAAAAAAUAAAAUUAAGUUUCAUAUAUUGUUAGUGUAAAUAAUUUGUUAUACUAAAAGGUCUUUCAAUGGAUAAUUAUAGAUAGAAGUAUUAAAUGAGUAGACUGAAUUUGGACAGGUUAAAAUAGGUUGAGUUAAUAUAUAUGUAGGCUUUGACCCAUUCAUAGUUGGAUUGAUACAGAUUAAAAUACGAGUCAUAAUCCAAUUUGUCAAAUUAUUACUAGUUGUACUUACUUUAUUUGUUUUUGUAUAAUUUUUAGUACCUUAUAAAACUAUGUUUUUCUCUAUUACGAUUAUAUAUAAAUAUCAAAUUAAAAAAUAUCUUUUUAAAAAUAUAUUGACAAGAUUUCACAUGAAUUAAUUUGACCUACAUAUUAAGCUAUUUUGAUGGGUUGAGCUAAUAAAUAUUCGGGUUAAUAACUUGCCACGAAACUUAGUGGAUAUGUUAACCGAUUUAUGUUUGUUUAUGUUUUGAUGGACUAAUUUUAUCACCUCUAUUUGUAACUUUCAAGAUAUAUUAUUGUUACAACACGUAAAGAUGAUCUAACAAUAUUAAAAAUUAUUUUGAAGAAUUAUUUCUCAGAAGCAAACUUUUUGCCCAAAGAAAAUAAAAGUUCAUCUAAUAAGUAACUAACCAUUAACUGAGUUUCAAUAUAAAUAUCAAACAUUUCGACAAAGGUGAUCUUCUUGAUGGUUCCAGGACCGCCAUCUCCCUCAACAUUCUCAAUGCUCUCAACAUCAGGUAUCAAUUUAGAUACAAGGUUGUUGAAGUCAAUAACCAAAGCUUUGAAUAGCCUUGAUGGGGCAACUGAGACUGUGGACUCAUCAGUGAAGGUAUAGGCACCCAUAAUGUUUGAUUAAUUUGCCUUGAAUAAGAAGAAAUGGAAAAAGAGCUUAGGAUAAGAUGAUUAUAAUGCUUUGAGGUGUGUGUUAUAUGGGAGUUUUAGAUGGUAUUUAUAGGAAAAAAUGGAGUGAGGUUUUAGGGUGUGUUUGGUAUAUUGAGUAAACUUUUGUUGUAAAAAAUUCUUCAGGUUUGAUUAGUAAAAAUAUCAAAAUAUAUCUUAAGAAAAUUAAGUUUCUUAAAAAAAAAUUUAUUAUUUUCAAUAUGACUUUUUCACUUGUUUUGAAAUACUUUACUUGAUUUGAGAGUCUAUUAAAAAUAGUCUUUUUAUCUACCUUCAUGCGAUAAGAAUAAGGAUAUGUGUACACAUUAGAGCCGUUAAUAUGAGUCAGGCCUCUUGAAUCGGCUUGACCCGACCUGUAAUUUGAUGAAAUUGGACUUUAGUUUUUGUAGCCCAUUUAAAAACAGAGAUUUUUAACUCGACCCGUAUAAGCAUGUGGUCCGUGGGGUUUGAGCAAUGUGGGCUGGGCUAGCAUGUGGGCUGGUUCAUAAGUCAAAUAGAUACAACUAUUUAAAUUGCUUAUUAGUAUUUUUAUCUGAUUCGAAGGAUAUCAUGUCAAAAAUUAUUUAAUUUUGUUAUUAGGAGUAUUUUUUGGGUUGUUGGAGACUUGAUUAACCAGUAUUAACACUAUAUAAUAUUGUCUGAUAAUAUUUAUGUUUAUUAACAUUCUAAAAUUAAAUUAUAAAAUAUUAUUUUUUAAAAGUGGACUGAUCGAUGAGGCCCGCAGCCCACAAAGUAAUGGUGUGAACUUGGUGUUUUUUGUUCCAUCAUUUUGAUGGAUCACCCAUCAAAACUCAAAGCCCGUGUGGCUAGUCCAGAUGAGCUUGACCGACCCGUAUUGACAGAUCUAGUACACGCCACUAUUUUCAGACCCCAUUUGAUAUAUUAUAUUGAAUAUGUUAUUGUUUAGAUUUCUUAAAUAUCAGAAAAAUAACUUUUAUAAAAGAGUAGAAAAACAAGUUUUGUAUAUGGCAUUUCAAAGUCAUCGUCCUUCCAGAGUGCUCUGAACCACAACCCUUUGACCACCUCCAAUCCUCACUCUCCGCUCGCCUUAUUUCUAUAGUAUUUUUUUUAAAUUAUUUAUUAAUAUUUUUGAGAUAAUAUUUUUUACAUAUUUAGCAAAAUAUCAGGAACUACUUAUUUUUCAAAAAAUUAUUAUUUCAUAGAGAACAUUUUUCUUGCUACGCAAACACACCUUUACAAGUCAGUAAUGAGCAACCUUAAUUUAGUCUUAAUUUAUCAUUCAAAGCAAUCCAUUGUUUGACAUUUGAGUCCAUUUUAAUUCUUUAUUGCUAUAUUGUGUCUCAUUAUCUUAAUAAUUAAUUUGUUAAUUGUGGUAUUGAGCGAACUUUAUGCCAAGUGGUAUAUAACAAUGAGGCUUGCAGACACGAGAUUAUUAAGUUAAUUUGGACAGUGGGAACCUACUAUCGUUUGCGCAUAUUAUUAUCAGUAUUUAAUAUUAAUUAUUAAAAUUUAAAAUUAUUUAGUGUCAUUCAUUCAAAAGAUGAAACUUACAGUCUGAUGAGUUUGAAUUAAAUGAUGCCUUGAUAGAUACUUUUGUUUACAAUAAACAUGUACUCAUAUUCAACGUUGGUAUCAUAUUAAUAUGUUAAUUUUCUUCCUUCAUUUUUAUUUGCUCAUACUUGAUUGGAUACACCUCUUAAGAAAUAAUAAAUUAAAUGAGAAUUUUAAUAUAUCACCCUUAUUAAUUAUAAGUCAUCUAAAUAUUAAUAAAUAAAUAAUAUUUAAUAGUAAGAAUAAAAUAGACACAAACGAGAGGCGAUGUCACUUUCAAAUUGUUGUUGUCUAGUCUGUUUCAUUUAUUUUUUUUUAGGUUUUCUAUUUACUAUUCGGUAUUCUCUCGAUUAAAUUUGAAUGCCACAAAGUUUAAUUUUAAGGGCAGCGAUUUUCAGAUAAUUUUUUUCAUUCUCAUAAGCUAAAAUUAGUGGUGAGUUCAAGAUUUUUCUUAGGGGUUUGAAAAAUGAGUAUACAGCUGUAUGAAUAAGCCAAUAAAACAAUUUCAAGAAAUGCAAUAGUAUAUAGUCUAUGUGGUAUAGAGUUUAGGGUUUUUAAAUUUUAAAAGGGAUGCAAUAGUAUAUAAUCAUUAUGGUACAUAGUUUUUUUUUAUUAUUAUUAUUAGUUUGGAAAAAGGGAAAAGGCCUUUUAGCGUUGAUUUUGUGUUUUAAGGCCGACUGGUGAAUGUGCCCCAAGUAGCACAGCCCAGUACCACUAAGCUAUCUCAUAUCAUUGUUUCAAGUUGUUCAAAAUUAACAUAUGUAUAAAAGUGUAGAUUUUUUAUUCUAUGCAAACAACAUAAUUUUUUGUCGAGGGAAUUCGAGUGAACCCCUGACAUCCACAUAGGUCUGCCCCUGGCUCAAAUUCGAAUCUCUUAUUAAAGACAGGGAAUCCUGUGAGUCAAUGACUAUAGUAUAUCCCGUCUUUAUUGGCUCUUGUUGUGAUUAUAAAGUCCAAAAUAAUUUCUCCAAUUUGGGAUCUAUUUUAAAUUAGAAGUUGUUUGGUAGUUGGUUAGAAUUAUGCAGGUAAUAAUAAUGUAGAAGUUAGUUAUGAGAAAAUUUGUGCAUUAUUUAUGCAAGAAUUAGUUAUUCAUGUAUUGGUUAUACAUGUAUUACUUAUUCCACCUUCUAUCUUGCAUAAGAUAAUACAUAAAUUCCUUCAUAACUUAUACAUGAAUAAGUUAAGUGAGUUUCUAAAUUGCAAAUCAAACACCAUAAUAAUUUUAUGCAUAAAUAAUUGUUGCGCCCAAGCGCACACGCAAGUAUACGUGCUCUCACCAAAUAAUACAAUGGCCUUAAAUAAAGUUGAAUAUUGAUCCCUCAUAGACUUGUUUUAACAACUAUUCAAUUUUAUUUCACUAUUGAGAUUGAUUCAGUGCAAAAGUAGCCAAAAGAGUUUUAGAGUUAUAAACUGAAAGUAAACAAUGUGUAAAAGUAAAAGUCUUGGACAAUCAAUGAAGAGAAACUUAGGGUUAAGGCUCUGCGAACAAUCAUACUACACUAUUGAACAUCAUUGAUUAGAUUACUUAUCUUGAUUGAUAAUUCAUGGGGUUGAUAUUAUGAUUAUGGUCUUUCGAGCUUAUAAUCCUCUAUCUAUCUUAGACCCACAACUAUUAAUUUGGGUUAAAUAAAAUACAUAUACAAAUAUGAACUUUAACAAGUUCAAAUUAUUUCUUAGAAAUAGUAAACUCAAACAAAAAACAGAUGAAUAUAGAAUUGAAAAUCAAGUCCACUGAAUUUAUAGUGUGUCCUUAAGGAAAUUAUUCUCCUCAAGUAUUUGAGAUUAUGGAAUAUAUUCUUUCAGGAUGAAAUGAUUCACUUCGGCCGAAUAGUGGCAGCUCAAAUUCGUUGGAUUUCAAACGCACUCAACAGUAUCAAAUCACAUUUGAGUUUUUACAAGAAAAAAGAGAUUUUACUUGAAAAUAUUUUGUCAAUGUUUAAGGAAAAAUCAGAUAUUUAUAGCUAAAAGGUAUUGCUUCAGAAAAGAAGCAAUGAUUCGUGAAGAGUUUCACUGUUUCAUACUAACGACCCAUAUGCUCCCGCAGGUGCGCAUAUGCUCCAGCACAUCAAUCCACAAACAAAAACAGAAAGUUCCCAUUUGAUCUACGUUGGCAUUUGUGGAUCCAUAUGUGGGAGCAGAUGCCCAUGUCCGACAACAUGUCACCUUUUCGUCAUUCAAAUAGUAAUAUGAGUCCACAAAUGGAUAAAAAUUUUCAUAUUGAAUUUUGGAUUAGAUAAAUAAUCAUUAAAUAAACAAGUUUUAAAUGAAUUUUGUCCAAAAAAAAUAGUAUCUCGGUCGAUUGACAAAUUUAAAUCCAAAUUCAGAAUCAAAGUUAAGCGAGUGAUGAUAACGACAUGGGAAGCUUGUCUUUUUAUUACCUCACCAGUAACAUGGAGUAAUGUUUCUAUAGUUAAGCAUGAAAAAGUUUAUUUUCCCAUCAAUGUAGGAGAACACUUCUUCCAUAAAAUGAAGAGACAUUUCACGUUCCCUCUAAUUUUCAUCUCUUCAUUUUUCAUUCACAUUUAAUCACUAGAACUCGCACUUAUUUCAUAGAAUAAUUUAUAUCUGUUGAAUUAUUGUAACGCCCUCGAGUAUGUACCCCGGACGCUAUACGGUGCUAGCGACCCCGAAGGACUACCAGCUAACUCGUGAUUGGUACCUGCAAUGAGAACUAAAUAAUAAUAACACUGUAAUAAUAAUAUAACUGAAAUAAGUGUGGAAGUUAGGCUAAAAUCACCAUAAGGUUCGUAACUGAAAGACCAAUACUGAAUACUGAAAGCUGAAUACUGAAAACUGAAACAUCCAUCUGAAAUACUCUAUAGUGAAAGCCUCUAACUGUUUAAAUUAUGAAGUUGAUGGGACAAGCCCCUAACUAACUCCAACUACUGAAAUACUGAAAUAUCACCCUAUCCUCGAACUAUGAGGACUCACCACUAAGUCUGUUGCUGAUAGGCUGGACUGCUAAGUACGGUCAGGAGUCCGUGCGUCUAAACCUAUGAUAUAAGAUACAUAACGCAAAAAAAAAGUAUGCGUUAGUACUUUGAAUGUACUGGUAUGAUAAGUGAGGUAGGCUGAUAUACAUGGGUUCAUAUGCAUGAACAAUAACUAAGUAACAUGAACAUAACUGAAUAAGAGAACAUGCAUGGAUACAUACAUUUUAAUUGAGAUCAUGUUAAUACUGAUUACUGAGUUCUAAAUACUGAUUAAAUGAUAUCUGAUUUUACUUAUACGGUAAUACUAAUAACUGAGUGACUGUUUCUAAUAGUCCUGGUUAAUAACUGGGUAAUUGAGUUCUAUACUAAGUUGGGUGACUGUAUCUGACAGUCCUGAUUCUGUAGAACUGAAUUGAGUUUUAUACUGAGACUGAAACUAUGAGAGGUAAUCAUCUGACCGACAUGCCCCUCUCUGAAAGGAUUGGGGUCCAACCUAUAACCCUAGUUGGAAGGGUGUCAAUAUCGUGUCACGGGUAAAGAUAAGCUGUGAGUUAACUCUCUCUGACAGAAAGCUCUUUCGUUAACCCUCGCUGGCAAAAAAACUCAUAUGAGAUGUAUCAACCCUAGUCUGGCAGGAAGAUAUCUCAACCUAUGUUGGCUACGUAGUUCUAUAACACAGGGAUUGCUGCUAAGGGUCAAACACUAUGCUGACAGGAAUGUAGACACGUAAUUUUGUCCAUCCUAAAAAUUAAUUUUCGCUUAUUUACCUCCCCCACCUACCAUACCCCACUAACCAAACAUACUCAUAACCAAGCAGCAUCAUUUUAUCCUUUUUUUCUUUUAUCCCUUUUGACCAAAAGAAAAAAAAAAGAAAAAAACACAAUCAUCACUCACCCACUCACUAAAAAACAUCACACACACAACACAGAGAUAUCACACACAAAAAAUAAAAUUUCCAUCAUCUUCUCCAUAGAAUUAUAUACACACACAUACUUACAGACUUAGACUUACACGAAAAAUCUCCCAAUACACCUUCACUUAAAAAUGGAGAAUUGACACACACAAAAACAAAAAACUCUUCAUUCUUCAAGAAGAACACACAAAAUAUUUUUUUAUCUCUAUCCUUCUUCUAAAAAAAAAAAAAAAGAAAAAAACAAUAUCCACACUACACUACCAUACACUCCUAAUUACAAAAUUUUUAUCUUUGUCCCGGUAUUUUCUUUUCUUCAUGGAUUUUCAUUUAAAUUUAUUCGGGGUGGGUCUUUAGGUACCGAUUUGGUAUUGUUCGUGGUUCGAGGUUCUUUAUUCGAGGAUUUUUAGUUUGGGCUUUAUUAUUGCACUGUUAUCAAUAAAAAUUCGUUCUUGUGAGGUCCAAUUCUCAACUUCAAUCUAUUUAUAUAUUAUUUAUUACUCAAUGUAGUUGAUAAUGUGAUUGAUGGUGUUUUGAAGUGUAUUGGAUUUUUAUAAUUAUCAUGGUUGUUUAGUUGAUUUAUAUUGGAAUUAGUUAAUCAUUGAUUAAGAAUGAGAUUCGGGAAUGGAUGAAUCGUGAAAACGUGAAUAUAACUAUAUUUGAUUUAUUGUUGAUAAUUUGAAUUGGAACAAGUAUUGAUGUUUGUUAAACCCGGUAGUAUCAUGUUUUAGGCAAAAAUGAAUAGGCAAAUCUUAGGUUGGGUAGGCCAAAAAUUUUAGGAUUGGUGUUUUGUUGAAUGUUUGAAUGUUCUAAUGAAUGAUUUUAUUUCAUCGCAAGAAAUUAAAAAUUAUAUUGAUUGUCCGGGGAAUGCCUCAAAGAAAAUUGUAUUUUUAUUAACCGAGGAAUGCCCCAACGUAUCAUGUACGCAAAGGAGGUUCGUGAUGAAGGUUCGAGGCAUCGGGUGAAGCAUUGGAGAUUAGUCUAGGAUGUAGUGUAAAAAUAGGAUUUAUAUUUUUUUGCAUUUUUUAUUUUUGGAAUGUAUAAUUUAACUGGACAUUAUAUUUUUUGGGAUUUGUUUUGUUUGCGUUUGUUUGUUUAAUCGUUGUGUGUUUAUGUGGUUUAUAAAUUAUUAGUGCCAAAAUUAGCCGAUAUACUCCACAAGCGACCGUGGUCGAACCACGGGAUCGAGGGGUGAUUAACACCUUCCCCUCGAUCAAACAAUUCCUUAGCUAUAAUCUCUGUUCACAGAUCAGUUUAAAAGAGUCAAAUUAUUUUCGUAAAAGGGAUUUUCAAAGGUGACUUGGCACACCAAAUUUAUGCCAAGUUUAAAUGAGCUGUAUGGGUACACCCAACCACCUGCGUUUCCAUUUGAUACAGAGAAACCUGUUGCGACAGAGGAACAAGAAGUCAUAGCACAGAAAUUGAAGGGUCUAGAACAAGCCAUGAGAAAUUUGCGGGGAAUCGGAGGUUAUAAAAGUGUUUCCUAUAAAGAUCUUUGCAUGUUCCCAGAUGUUAACCUUCCACUCGGCUUUAAAAUGUCCAAAUUCGAGAAGUAUGCUGGGAACGGUGAUCCCAUGGUGCACUUGAGACGCUAUUGCAACCAAUUAAUUAUUGCAGGGGGAAGGGAAGAGUGCUCAUGGCUUUCUUUGGAGAGAGUCUUUCCGGUCUGGCUUUAGAAUGGUUUGUCGAUCUGGAUAUUGACAAGUGGAACAACUGGGAUGACUUAGCUACUGAGUUUGUACAACAUUUUCAGUACAACAUCUAUUUGAUUCCAGAUUAAAAAUCCCUGCUUAACAUGAAGAAGUAAAGUACUGAAGGUUUCGGGAAUACACGAUAAGGUGACGAGAAUAGGCCGCAAGGGUAAAGCCUCCGAUGAAGGAGAGUAAGCUGGUGGAGGUCUUUGUUCAGGCGCAAGAGGAGACUUAUUUUCAACACUUGCUUCCGGUGAUGGUAAGCCAUUUAUUAAAGUCUUCAAAAUGGGAGAAAUGAUAGAGGAAGGUAUCAAUACUGGACGAAUCGUAAGUUUUUCCGCCUUAAAGGCCACUACCCAAGCAAUUCAAAGUGGUUCUGGAGUUUUUGGAGGGAAAAAGAAGAAGGAGGAAGUAGCGACUGUUGUAGAUAGCUUACACGACUAUCUAAAAAGACCGUCUCGCCCUUAUUCCCAGUCCCAAGCCCAAGCUUAUGCUCGAGCUCCAUAUAUCUCUCCCACCAUCACUAACCUCUAUAAAACCCACUAUAUUUCAUUCCACCACCUCAAUACCUAGUAUAUAGUGCACAUCCAUACGCCCAAACUUCUUCUUACCUACAAUGGCGUGUGUCAUCAUCUCAAUAUCGUCCCUCAGCUCCACAAAAUUACCAGAAUCCUUCCAGAUCUAGUUUUCAACCUAGGACCAAGUUUAAAAGAGGGAAAUUAGUCAAAAAUAAGUUCACACCUCUCGGGGAGUCAUAUGCUAGCUUGUUUGAUAGAUUGAGGAAGUUGAAGGUUUUGAGCCCAAUUCAAGAAAGGCUUUCAAAUUCACCACCAAGAAAUCUGGAUUAUUCUUUAAGGUGUGCAUAUUUUUCCGACAUGCCCAGACAUGAUACAAAAAAAUAUUGGUACUUGAAGAAAGCAAUUCAUGAUCUGAUCGACAUAUAUCAGAUGAUGGUGCAAGCCCCAGAGGUCCCAAAUAUCAACCUAAAUCCAUUCCCGGACCAUGCUGAAAUGAAUAUGUUGAAGUUGAUAUACGAAGGUAAAGAGUCCAUGACUUAUCAUAUUCCAAUAGUUAGUAUCCUAAAUAAUGAUGAGAAGUCGGUCAAUAUCCCAGAUUCCAUGAAGGUAAAGUCUUUGAUACCAAAGGAUACGAUAGAAGAAAAAACUCAAGGAAAUAAAAAUAAACCUGUGCUAACUAUUAAAGGAGGGGAAAAAUUUGUUGUCCCGAGUAAGGGUAAGUUGAAUUUAAUAGUAAUAGGAGCCCAAACCAAGCCUAUCUUGACUGUGAAAGGGGUACUUGCGGACCCUAUUGUUAUUAAGCCAGUGACACGGCUCCCGUUGAUCGACCCCAAAAAAGUCCCUUGGAAUUAUAAGAAAACCGUGAUGACUUACCGAGGAAAGAAAAUCGUUGAUGAGGUGAAUGAAGUUGGAGGUUUGACUCGUUCAGGAAUGUGUUUUGUUCCAGAAGGUUUAAGGAAGUCUAAACCAGUGGGGGAUGGCCACUCAACUAUUAAAAAGCCCGUCACUGAGGAAGAAUCCGAAGAGUUUUUGAAAAGGAUGAAAUUUCCUGAAUACUCAAUCAUAGAUCAGUUGAGGAAGACUCCAGCUCAAAUCUCCCUUCUUUCUCUAAUGCUGCAUUCUGAUGAACAUCGUAAUGCUAUGCUGAAGGUGUUGAAUGAGGCAUAUGUCCCAAGAGAAGUUAUGGUGAGUUAGUUACAAAAAAUUAUUGGGAAAAUCUUUGAGGUAAAUAGGAUUAGCUUUUUGGAUGAUGAAUUGCCUGUGGAAGGCAUGGGGCAUAAUCGGGGUCUUUAUAUUAUUGUGAAAUGUGAAUACUUCUAUGUCACCCGUGUCAUGAUCGAUGGAAUUUUCGGUGCAAAUAUUUGUCCACUGCUUACUUUACAAAAGUUGAAUAUCAGUAUUGAAAGGAUUCGACCCAAUAAUGUAUGUGUCGGAGCUUUUCAUGGAGCAAAAAUAGACUCAAUUGACGAAAUAAAGCUAAUGUUGACUAUAGGGCCUGUUGAAUUUGUCAUAGAGUUCCAAGUAUUGAACAUCGGAGCCUCUUAUAAUAUGUUGUUAGGAAGACCCUGGAUUCACAAGGCUGGGAUGGUCGCAUCUACAUUGCACCAGAUGAUCAAGUUCGAGUGUGAUAAAGAAAAGGUGAUCAUUCAUGGUGAAGGGGAUUUGUCUAUCUACAGAGAAUCACCCAUGCCUUUUAUCGAGGAAAAUAAUGCAGAAUCGACAUUGGUUUAUCAAUCUUUUGAUGCAGUAUAUGUGGAGCAUAUCGGUGAAGGACAUGUUAUUCCAAGGCCGCAGUUAUCUCCUACUUCCAUCAAGAUGGUUAAUGAGAUGUUGAAAUAUGGUUUUGAGACAGGAAAGGGCUUAUGAGUAUCAUUACAUGGUAUAGUUCUUCCAGUAUGUCCAAGGGAGAACCUCUGUGGUUUCGGUUUAGGUUUCAAACCUAUAGUAGAAGAUUGGAAAAAGGCCAAGAAGCAAAAAAAAUAAACAUGGUCACUUCCCCACCCAGUGUCACUACUCAGUGAGUCAUUUGUCAAAGGCAAUAUUAUCAAGCACAUACGAGAGGUGGAAGCUGAGUUAGUUGAUGGUUUCCAAAACCUGUUCAUCGAAGCUGACAUGAUUAGAGCAGGAGAAGGUAACAGUAGGGCAGAUUUGCAGUUCAUAAGUCCUGAUGUCCAGCUUAACAACUGGGAAGUCACUCCUCUCCCAGUCAGGAGGGUGUUUUGGUAGUUUAUUUUAUUUUUUUCUGCUUUUCUGAGUUAUUUCAAGAUUGUAAUUCAGAAUUUAACUUAUUUAUAUUCUAUUGUCAUUUGUGUUUAAACCCUCCAAUCUUCAUGUAUUUCUUUGUAAUAAAAUGAAAUUGUCCCCUUUGUUUUGACUCUAAUACGCUUUAUUUGUCUUUUCUUUAUACAGUUCUUUUUAUACUUAUUCUAGUGAUAUGACAUGCAUGCGGAAUGUUCUGCCUGAUCCUAAAAUCCAAUCUAAUCAAGAUGUAAUAAAUCAAGGGGUGGGAUAUGAUGAGGAAAAAGCAUUGGAAGAAAUAAGCAAAGAGUUCCAAUAAUUUGAAGCCAAGUCAAAUCCUAAUUUGGAUAAAACUGAGUCAAUUAAUCUUGGCAGUCAAGAAGAGGUUAGGGAAACUAAAAUAAGCAUAUAUUCUUCACCAACAUUAUAAGAAGGGAUGAUACAAGCAUUAGAUGAUUACAAAGAUAUUUUUGCAUGGUCCUAUGAUGAUAUGCCGGGUUUAAGCACCGAAUUUGUGGUACAUAAGCUGCCGACUGACCCUGCGAUGCCCCCUGUAAAAUAGAAGUUGAGAAAAUUCAAAACCGAUGUAAGCAUGAAAAUUAAAGAGAAAAUCAUGAAACAGAUCGAAUCAAAGGUCAGUCGAGUUGCUCGCUAUCCUUAUUAGUUGUCCAGUGUCGUUCCUGUCCUAAAGAAAAACAACAAGGUUCGAGUAUUUAUCGAUUAUCGUGAUUUGAAUUGGGCUAGUCCGAAGGAUGAUUUUCCAUUACCCAACAUUCAUAUUCUGCUAGAUAAUUAUGCUAAACAUGAGGUUGCUUCUUUCAUGGACUGUUAUGCGGGAUAUCACCAAAUAGUUAUGGAUGCUGAUGAUGUUGAGAAGACAUCUUUCAUAACACCGUGGGGAACUUAUUGUUAUCGAGUGAUACCGUUUGGUCUGAAGAAUGCUGGAGCAACAUCUAUGAGAGUCAUGACCACUAUGUUUCAUGAUAUAAUGUAUAAGAAAAUUGAAGUCUAUGUAGAUAAUGUGAUUAUUAAAUCAAAGAGUCAGGCUAACCAUGUUAAAGAUUUAAGAAAGUUCUUUGAAGGGCUUCGCAGGUAUAAUCUCAAUCUCAACCCAGCAAAAUGCGUAUUUGGAGUUCCAUCUGAAAAGUUACUGGGGUUUGUAGUCAUCCGUCGGAGUAUUGAAUUGGAUCCUUCAAAGAUCAAAGCCAUUCAGGAUCUGCCACCACCUAUGAAUAAAACAGAGGUGAUGAGUUUGUUUGGUAGGCUGAACUACAUUAGUAGAUUCAUUGCUCAGCUCAGAACCACUUGUGAUCCCAUUUUCAAAUUGCCGAAGAAGAGUGUCGCUGUUGAAUGGACAGAGGAAUGUCAGGAGGCGUUCAACAAAAUCGAAAGAUAUCUAUUGAAUCCAUCUGUGCUGGUACCUCCCGAGCCUAGCAAGCCUCUGAUAUUGUACCUAUCGGUUAUGGAUAAUUCAUUUGGUUGUGUAUUGGGUCAAUAUGAUAUCACAGGGAAAAAAGAGCAAGCCAUCUAUUAUCUCAACAAAAAAUUCACAAUGUAUGAAGCCAAGUACACUCUUCUUGAAAGAACAUGUUGUGCCCUAACUUGGGUAGCACAGAAGUUGAAGCAUUAUCUUUUAUCCUACACUACUUACCUCAUCUCCCACAUGGAUUCUUUGAAAUAUAUCUUUCAAAAGUCCAUGCCAACGGGUCCAUUGGCUAAGUGGCAAAUAUUACUUACCGAGUUUGACAUUGUAUAUAUGACCCGAACCUCCAUGAAAGCCUAAGCCUUGGCAGAUUAUCUUGCUGAGAAUCCCAUUGAUGAAGAGUAUGAGUCUUUAAAGACAUAUUUUCCUGAUGAGGAGGUAUUGUGUGUCGGUGAAGUCAUCAUAGAUGCUGAUCUAGGUUGGAAGUUGUCCUUUGAUGAAGCUGUGAACAUGAAAUGAGUCGAAAUAGGUGUAGUUCUUAUCUCUGAAUCAGGGCAAUAUUUCCUGAUAACAGCGCAACUUCGAUUUUAUUUUACCAAUAAUAUGGCGGAAUACGAAGCUUACAUUUUGGGUUUGAGGCUAGCUGUUGAUAUAGGAGUCCAGGAACUCUUAGUGUUGGGGGAUUUAGAUUUGCUCGUCCAUCAGAUUCAAGGGGAUUGGGAGACACGAGAUUUAAAGAUCAUACCGUAUUGACAAUGUUUGGAAGAUCUAUGUCAAUGAUUCAUGUCAGUAAAGUUUCAGCAUAUUCCUAGAAUUCACAAUGAGAUUGCUGAUGCUUUAGCCACUUUGUCUUCAAUGCUCCAUCAUUCUAAUAAAGCCUACAUCGAUCCAGUGCAUAUACAGAGGCGUGAUCAACAUGCUUAUUGCAAUGUAGUUGAAGAAAAGCUCGAUGGAGAACCUUGGCUCUUCUAUAUCGAGUGGUACAUCGAGUUGGGAGAAUACCCAACACAUGCCACCAGUGAUCAAAAUAGGACUAUUAAGCGUCUAGCUAAUGGAUUUUUCUUGAGUGGGGGAAUCUUAUACAAGAGAACCCUAGAUCUGGGACUUUUGAGGUAUAUAGAUGCAAAAGAAGUUUCGGCAAUCAUGGUUGAAGUUCACUCUGGAGUAUGUGGGCCUCAUAUGAAUGGUUAUCUUUUAUCAAUGAAGAUCCUUUGAGCAGGUUAUUAUUGGCUUACUAUGGAGAGAGAUUCUAUUCAUUUUAUUCGCAAAUGUCAUCAAUGUCAGGUACAUGCUGAUCUAAUACAUUCUCCUCCUUCUGAGUUGCAUGCAGUGUCUGCUUCCUGGCCUUUCGUAGCUUAGGGGAUGGACGUGAUCGGACCGAUUGAGACGAAAGCGUCAAAUGGGCAUAGAUUCAUUUGGUGGUCAUUGAUUACUUCACAAAGUGGGUAGAAGCAGUAACUUUUAAGUCAGUAACAAAGAAGGCGGUGGUAGAUUUUGUUCAAGCCAAUAUCAUUUGUAGAUUUGGAAUUCCCAAGAUGAUCAUUAAGGAUAAUACUGCUAAUGUCAAUAGCCGUUUGAUGCAAGAAGCAUGCCAACAAUUUAAGAUCGCACAUCAAAAUUCCACUAUGUAUCGUCCAAAGGCAAAUAGUGUCGUUGAAGCUGCCAACAAGAAUAUUAAGAAGAUACUACAAAAAAUGAUACAAGGGUCUAGACAAUGGCAUGACAAGUUGCCAUUUGCAUUACUAGGCUACCAUACUACUGUUCGCACUUCAACAGAGGCAACCCCAUAUUUACUGGUGUACGGGACAGAAGCGGUCAUUCCUACAGAAGUUGAAAUUCCAUCUUUUCAAGUCAUUGCGGAAGCAAAGAUUGAUGAUAAUGAGUGGAUCAAAACCCGAUUAAAAUAGUUGAGUUUGAUUCUAAAAAAAGGCUGACGUCGGUAUGUCAUGGCCAAUUGUAUCAGAAGAUAAUGAUUCGAGCAUACAACAAAAAGGUAUGUCCCAGGCACUUUGAAGUUGGUCAGUUGGUAUUGCAGUGUAUCCUUCCUCAUCAGGUUGAAGUGAAAGGCAGGUUCUCUCCAAAUUGGCAAGGUCCCUUUAUUGUGAAGAAAUUCUUGCCUAAUGGAGCCUUAUAUUUGACAGACAUUGAAAGCAAAAUGGCAGAGAUGGCUAUCAAUGCAGAUGCAAUCAAAAGAUAUUAUGUAUGAUAUCUUGUAUCCCUUGUUGAUUCUUUUGCAUGUUUAGUACUGAUGUUUUAAAGAUUGAUAUAAUGAAGGCACUUCAUUCUGCAAUUCAAACAUUGUGUCAUCAUUUGCUUUCCUCGUUUGAGCUUAGUUCUAUUUUCUUUCAUAUCCCUCUUUUGGAAUCAAAACAAAGUCAAAAAAUAAAAUGUCGAAAAAAAAGAAGCAUAAAAAAGAGUAUAAAAAAAAGAAAAAUCAAAUCAAAUAAAGAACAAGAUGAUGGAACUACGUGUGACCUGAUUCUCCUCUUUCGGGGGUGAGAUAUGUAGGCUGCCUUAUUCAGGGCUCGGUCCAACCAAACAAAGAUUUUAGAGAUACCCAGUUAACAAGACUGGGGCAUGAGUUAAUUCUUGUAGUUUGAGUCAAUUCUAAAAGUUGUAAGUCCUACCCUACAUCAAGUGUCGUUAGGGCCUCAUGCCAUCAUUUCUUUCUAACCCUAUCGAAAAGCCAAAUGACAACCAAAUGAAGACCUUCAGAUCAAUUUUUAAGAAAGUUAAGGAUAAGCAUGCAAUGGAUAUGAUGACGCAUUUUGGGAACUACUUGUUUUCCUCAACAUAAGUAAUCAGGAGAGAAAUGAAAAUGAGAGAGUCUUAUUGGUGAAAACCCUCGAAGGCACCAUGAGGCAAUAGUGAGCAAGAAAGAUAAAAAUGAGAGAGUCUUAUUGGUGAAAACCCUCGCAGGCACCAUGAGGCAAUAGUGAGCAAGAAAGAUAAAAAUGAGAGAGUCUUAUUGGUGAAAACACUCACGGGCACCAUAAAGCGAUGGUGAGUUGAGAGAAAUUAGAAAUGAGAGAGUCUUAUUGGUGAAAACCCCAUGGGCACCAUAAGACGAUAGCGAGUUUAAGGGAAAUAAACAGGAAAGAGGCUUGUUUAUGAAAAUCUAGCCAGAUGUCGUCAAUUGAAUGGGGUGUACGAGUCCAAUGGGUUUGAAGAAGCAACUCAGAGGUAAAGGCACAGACUCAACAACAAAUAGAAAGUUUGGUUAGGAAGAUCAGGUAGCUUAAUCCAAAAUGCAUGUCAUAUUCAUUAGAGUUGGUUGUCGUAUUCAGAUAAGUUUUCUUUUUAAAAGUGGAAUAUUGCCUUUUUCUUUCAUUUAUAUAUUUAUAUUUAUAUUUUUUAUGCCAUUUGUCAAAAUAAAAUUCACCAUCAUUUUUUUACAUUUUUGAGUCAAGUCUGUGUCAAAACAAGUGAGAAAAGAUUUCGAAACUUACUAUCAGUCUUUCCAAUUGCAUGAGGAAAAGCCAAGGACUAGCACAUAGAAAUAUACAUGAUCAUGAUUCAAAACAAUGCAAAUAAAUUUCAUUAACCGAUAGGUUCUAGGAUGCGUGGAAAUAUUCAGGUUUCUAAAGGUGCAUCUCAGGAGCAGGGUAAACUAGAUAUUCGGUGUUUGGAUCAAAGUCCCUUUCCUUAAUCAAGGUUGGGGCCAAUGAUGCGACAUGACAAGGGCAAAUGUCAGUAAUUUAAAGCAACGAUGAAAGGGAAACAGGCGUAGCAGUAGAUGUCUGGAAGGCCAAGUGCUACAGACCACCACAAAGUUUACAACUGAGAAAUUUUUCAUUGAUGAAACAGGGGAAAAAUUAUGUUCAUUAAAGUUCAGCGGCCGUUGAAAAACACACCCGGGAAUUGACUUUACGUUCAGGCCCCUCCAGAAAAAUGAAAAAUUACUUUAUGUUCAGAACCUUCCUGAAAAAUGGGACAUUACUUUAAAAAGGGAAAAAAUGAAUGAACGAAAUCUUUCUUUAUCAUAAUCUUUGUUUAGGAAAAUUUUAGUUCUAAUUUUGAUUUUUGAUUUCAGGAGCCCGCCUGGAAAACAGGGUGAUGAAAUUGAAAGUUGAUGAAAUACAAGUCAGGUGCCCGCCUGAAGAACAGGGUGAUGAAAUUAAAAGUUGAUGAAAUACAAGUGAGGUGCCCGCCAGAAGAACAGGGUGAUGAAAUAGGAAAUUGAUGAGAUAAAAGUCUGGAGCCUGCCUGAAGAACAGGGUGAUGAAAUUAAAAGUUAGGAGCCCACCUGAAGAAUAGGGUGAUGAAACUGAAAGUUGAUAAAAUUGAAAGUCAGGAGCCCUCCUGAAGAAUAGGGUGAUGAAAUUCAAAGAUGAUGAAAUGAAAGUCGGGAUGCACGCCCAGAGAACAAGAGCAAGAAAAUUGCAAGUCAGGUGGCCCGCCUGAAGAAUAGGGGUGAUAAAAUUAAAAGUCAAGAUGCUCGCCCAGAGAAUAAGAGUGAGAGAAUUGCAAGUCAGGUGGCAUGCAUGAAGAAUAGGAGUGAUAAAAUUAAAAGUCGGGAUGCUUUCCUAGAGAACAAGAGCAAGAAAAUUGCAAGACAGAUGGCCCGCCUGAAGAAUAGCGGUGAUAAAAUUAAAAGUUAAGCUACUCGCCCGGAGAACAAGAGCGAGGAAAUUGCAAGUUAGGUGACCCGCCCGAAGAAUAGGGGUGAAGAAAUUGAAAGUCAGCAAAUUGAUAAAAUGGCAAGUCAGGAGCCCGCCUGAAGAAUAGGGUGAUGAAAUUGAAAGUUAAGUAACAAGGUUGAGAGAUUAAAAGUCAACCAACAGGGUCAAGAAGAAAGUCAAACAACAAGGUAAAGAAGUUGAAAGUCAAAUAACAAGUUGAAGAAAUUGAAAGCCAAACAACUGGAGAAAUUGUAAGUCAAUAGUCCAAAUGAAGCUGCUUAGAUAGGACUUUUGUAAUUUCAGGUAUCUUUUAAAUUAUUAUUUUUUUAUGUAAUAAUAGGGUCGUGGACUGGAACCUCGAUGGAACCGCACUUGACCCUCCAACUCGGUAUAGUCCCUCUUCUUCAAACACUUUGAGAUAUUUAUGACUUGAUUCCCUAGUAACAAGGGAUAGGUAUGAUGUUCAAAAUCAAUACUGGGUUUACCUUCUUCCUUCUGUGUCAUUCUUUUUAAAUAAUGGUCAGUCAAAAUGUUGUCUCGUUGUCUACUUCUUUGUCUGAAAGCACUUUGUGUUUACAUCCAAAGAGGGGCAUAAUGUAGAAACGUAAUUUUGUCCGUUCUAAAAAUUAAUUUCCACUUAUUUACUUCCCCACCUACCAUACCCCACUAACCAAACGUACUCAUAACCAAACAGCAUCAUUUAAUCCUCUUUUCUUUUAUCCCUUUUGACCAAAAGAGAAAAAAACACAAUCAUCACUCACCCACUCACUAAAAAACAUCACAAUAAACCACAAUUGGGUUUCUUCUUCUUGAUGCACACGACACACACAACACAGAGAUAUCACACACAAAAAAGAAAAUUCCCAUCUUCUUAUCCAUAGAAUUAUAUACACACACAUACUUACAAACUUAGACUUACACGAAAAAUCUCCCAAGACACCUUAACCUAAAAAUGGAGAAUUGACACACACAAAAACAAAAAAUUCUCCAUACUCUUCCAUUCUUCAAGAAGAACACACAAAAUAUUUUUUUAUCUCUUUCUUUCUUCUAAAAAAAAAAAGAAAAAAACAAUAUACACACUACACUACCAUACACUCCGAAUUACAAAAUUUUUAUCUUUGUCCCGGUAUUUUCUUUUCUUCAUGGAUUUUCAUUCAAAUUUGUUCGGGGUGGGUCUUUAGGUAUUGCUUUGGUCUUGUUCGUCGUUCGAGGUUCUUUAUUCGAGUAUUUUUAGUUUGGGCUUUAUUAUUGCACUAUUAUCAACAAAAAUCCGUUCUUGUGAGGUCCCAUUCUCAACUUCAGUCUUUUUAUAUAUUAUUUAUUACUCAAUGUAGUUGAUAAUGUGAUUGAUGGUGUUUUGAAGUGUAUUGGAGUUUUAUAAUUAUCAUGGUUGAUUAGUUGAUAUAUAAUGAAAUUAGUUAAUCAUUGAUUAAGAGUGAGAUUCGGGAAGGGAUGAAUCAUGAAAACGUGAAUAUAACUGAUUAAGAGUGAGAUUCGGGAAGGGAUGAAUCUUGAAAACGUGAAUAUAACUAUAUUUGAUUUAUUAUUGAUAAUUUGAAUUGGAACAAGUAUUGAUGUUUGUCAAACCCGGUAGCAUCAUGUUUUCGGCCAAAACGAAUAGGCAAAUCUUAGGUUAGGUAGCAAACAAUUUUUAGGAAUGGUGUUUUGUUGAAUGUUCAAUUGAAUGAUUUUAUUUCAUCACAAGAAAUUAAAAAUUGUAUUCAUUGUCCGGGGAAUGCCCCGAAAAAAAUUGUAUUUUUAUUUACCGAGGAAUGCGCCGACGUAUCAUGUACGCAAAGGAGGUUUGUGAUGAAGGUUCGAGGCAUCGGAUGACGCAGUGGAGAUUAGUCUAGGAUGUAGUGUAAAAAUAGGAUUUAUAUUUUUUUGCAUUUUUUAUUUUUGGAAUGUAUAAUUGGACUGGACAUUAUAUUUUUCGGGAUUCAUUUUGUUUGUGUUUGUUUGUUUAAUCGUUGUGUGUUUAUGUGGUUUAUACAUUAUUAGUGCCAAAAUUAGUCGAUAUACUCCAUCAAGUGACCGUGGUCGAACCACGGGAUCAAGGGGUGCCUAACACCUUUCCAUCGAUCAACAGAAUUCCUUAGCCAGAAUCACUGUUCGCAGAUCAAUUUAAAAGAGUCAACUUAUUUUCGAAAAAGGGAUUUUCAAAGGUGACUUGGCACAUCAGAUUUAUGCCAAGUGGCGACUCUGAAUUUAAUUAAAAUAAAUCCUUUUUCGAAAUAAAUCAUCUUUUGUCGCUUAAUAAUAAAAACCUUUUCAAACUUAAAAUGCAAUCUUUUCAGUAAAAAAAAGGUAUGACAUGCCCCCAUCCCUGGGUUCGCUUGGUGCUGAAUCCUACUCUCAACUGAAUAGACAAUGAACAAAUUUCUAGUCCAUACUAGAUUUGACUGAACUAUUACUGAUCGUACUGUCUAACUGAACUAAAAUGAACUGUGUUCACCGGGUUCCGCUAAGUGACGGAGUACUACUAAAUCUAGUUAACUAACUAAGUUCACAAAGUUCUGAACUGAGACUAUGACUGAUUACUGAGUACUACUGUUCAUAAUACUUUUGAGACUGUUUUGUAACUCAUAUACCUCUAGGUAAAUAACUAAAUUUUCGGGUAUUGAAUACCCCCAGGACUCGAUAGCAUGAAAAGUAAAGCAUAGAGUAAACUUGAAAAGCAUAACACUGUGCACUUGUUCAUAACUCAUCCAUAGAGACAUUUAUCAAAUACAUUUACGGCCUAAGUUUACACUUAUACUAGCAUGUCAUGAUUUUCCCAAUUUGGUUCACGUGAGCAUUUUAACAAACACUUGGGGAGCACCAAUAUGCACAUGAUACUAAACAACAUGUAGGCAUCAUAACAUCAAUUCCCAAAUUCACAAAUUCAAUGGCUUCAAAAUGAAUUCACAUGAUACUACAUAUAUGAUAAUCAAUUCCACAUGAAACUUGUAAUAGACCAUGGAUUAGAAACCCAAUUAACAUUAUAAUCAUGAAUACACUUAAAUCCAAAUAUGGAAAUCAUGAAAAGAGUUUCUUCGACUCCAAGGGCAGAAGGAACCCUUGGAUGAACAUUUCACAUACCUGAGUACUUCAAUUAAUGAAGGUUUAUGAUGAGUUCUUGAAUCUUGAGCCUUGAAUUAGAAGCCCUAGGAUUUUGUUCUUGAGUAAUUUUGAGAAUAGUGAAUGGAUUUUACCACUAAAGUGGCUAAAUAUCAUAUUUUUGGGGCUGAUAGACGUGGGAAAAUAACUCAAAUACCACUGAGGAUGCAGUUUUUUAAUGACUAAAGACUGACAUAGCGAUGCACAGACAGACGCGCCGCAUCGAUGGGAUCAACAUGAUGGCUGAUGCACCACUUCAAGUCCUCAUCGGUUCACUAGAAAUUGCACUAGGAGAUGGGAGAAAUAUUCAUCGAUGCGAUAGGUGAUGCGGCACUUCGAGAUCGCAUCCAUACACUGAUUUGGACCCCCAAACGUGCUUUAAACAUUAUCCAAAAAAUCUGAAACUCGUUCGAGAACACCUACUGAUAUUCCUGAUCAUGAAGCAACUUAAUGAUCGAUAUUUAAUGGUAGUAAGAGUCAUGAAAUAAGAUCACUAACUAUGAAGGCUAAAAUAAUUCUAAGUAUGAAUACUUGGCUAAAAUUUUCUAAGUUUGGGACCCCUUAACAAGCUUUAAAGGACUUAAUUAAGAUCAGAAUUUUUGUGGGGUCUAACAAUAUCUCCCUUUUGGAAACAUUCAUUCUCGAAUGAGAUUGACUAAGAUGGGGAAACAGAUAGACUGAAAGUACGUACCGAACAAGCACAACUGAAGCAUGAUUUCAUGGCUGAGACUACUGAUAUACUGAAUUAUCAUACUGAACAUGCAUAACUAAUACAUGGUUUCGUAACUAAUAUUACUGAUAAGCUGAAUUUGUAUACUGAACAUGUAUAUUUGAUGCAUGAGUACAUGACUGAACUGAUUCAUGAAUGCAUGACUGAGUAGGCGACGUUACUUGAUACUAAGUUGGUAACUAUAUUUGAACACGAAACUGAGUAAAUUUAACGAAAACUACUAACUUCAGCUGAGUUGGAGUUUGCGGAGAAGAGGUGAGGAUACUUGGUUUGCAUAUCUGCUUCUGCUACCCAAGUAGCUCCCUCAACGGACUAAUUCUGCCAAAGAACUUUGACUAGAGGUACUUUUUUAUUCCUCAGUAUACGAAUCUGAUAAUCAAGGAUUUCGACUGAAAUUUCCUCAUAAGAGAGGUUGUUCUGGACAUCUAUAGCCUCUAUAGGUACUACAACUGUUGAGUCACCUAUGCAUUUCUUUAGCAAGGAGACAUGAAACACUGGGUUUACUGAAGCUAAGUCUAAAGGUAACUCAAGCUCGUAAGCUACCUUUUUGAAACGACAGAGAAUUUGGUAAGGACCGACAUAUUGGGGGUAGAGCUUCCCCUUCUUAUGAAACCUCUCACUUCUUUCAUAGAGAGGUUUUCAAAUACACACAGUCACCAAUAUCAAACUCGAGAUCCUUUCUACGCACGUCAACAUACGAUUUCUGUCGGCUCUGAGCUGUCUUAAGCCUUUCCCUGAUUAACUAAACUUUUUCUAAGAUAUCAAAUACCAAGUCAGGCCCUACCACUGUGGCCUCACCCACUUCAAACCAACCAAUAGGAGAUCUACAUCUCCUCCAUAGAACACCUCAAACGGAGCUAUCUGAAUGCUGGAAUGAUAACUGUUGUUAUAUGCAAACUCAAUCAAGGGCAAGUGGUCAUCCUAACUACCCUUAAAGUCAAUGGCAUAAGCUUUUAUCAUAUCUCCAAAGUCUGAAUGGUCCUUUCAGCUUGACCAUCUAUUUGAGGUUGAAAGGCUAUAUUGAGGUGCACUUGGGUACCAUGACCCUUUUGGAAGGCUUUCCAAAAAUGAGAGGUAAACUGGAUAAAUCUAUCUGAGAUGAUGGAUAACAGAACUCCGAGCAAUCUGACUAGAGCUUUGCAUAAUCCUCAGUUGAAUAAGAGGUAUGGGCUGGUAAGAAAUGAACUGACUUGUUCAUCCUGUCUACGAUAACCCAUAUAAAAUCAUGUUGACGAUGAGUAUGAGGCAAUCCCAUCACAAAGUCCAUGUUCAAUUCUUCCCAUUUCCAUGUGUGAAUACUGAACUCUUGCAUGAACCUACUAGGCUUCUGAUGUUUGAUCUUAACCUACUAAUAUGUUGAGUAUUUAGCUACAAACUCUACAAUAUAUCUCUUCAUCUUACUCCACCAAUAGACUUUCUGAAAGUUGCGGUACAUCUUAGUGGCCCGUGGAUGAAUAGAUUAGCGUGCACCAUGCGUUUCUGCAAGAAUCCGCUGCCUCAAGUCAGCUACACCUGGCACACAUAGCCAACCCUAGCAACGCAAUACACCAUCUCCCCCUUGGAAGAAAACCUCUACUUUCUGAUCUAUGACUGACUCUUUCAACUUAGCUAGACAGGGAUAUCUGUCCUAUUUUUCGUUUACUUUAAAAACAAGAGAUGAGUCUGAACUACUUUGCACCUAUACACCACCUUCUAUUGAAUCGACUAAGCGGACACCUAGUCAGGCAAGCUGAUAAACUUCCUAAACUAAAUUUUUCUUAUCCUUAUCCACGUGAGCAAUACUGCCUAUAGACAUCCUACUGAGAGAAUCAAACACUACAUUGGCCUUGUGUGGAUGAUACAAGACACUUAUGUUAUAGUCUUUCAACAACUCUAACCAUCUUCUCUGACAGAGGUUCAGGUCUUUUUGAGAGAACAUAUAUUGGAGGCUCUUAUGGUCUCUGAACAAAUCAACAUGUACCCCAUACAAAUAAUGCCUCCAAAUCUUUUAGGAAAAUACUACAGCUGCUAACUAAAGAUCAUGAGUGGGGUAGUUCUUCUCAUGGUGCUUAAGCUAUCUAGAGGCAUAGGCUAUGACCUGACCUCUCCGCAUCAAAACACACCACAAACUAACUCUGGAGGCAUCACAAUAUACCACAAACCUAUCUGAACCAUCUGGUAGAGUCAAAACUAAAGCUGUAGUGAGUCGAGUCUUCAACUCCUAAAAAUUUUCUCACAAGAAUCUGACCAUUGUAACUUGACUCUCUUCUAAGUCAAUCUGGACAUAGGGAAUGAAAUAGAUAAAAAUCCCUCAACAAACCAUUCAUAAUAGCCAGUCAAACCUAAAAAACUCCUGAUAUUUGUUGGAGAAAUGGGCCUGGUCCAAUUUCUUACAGCUUCGGUCAUUUGAGAAUCCACUUUAGUGCCAUCACCAAAAACUAUAUGACCAAGAAAGGCUAUUGACCUUAGCUAAAAUUCGCACUUACUGAAUUUAGGGAAUAACUGAUGGUUUCUGAGAGUCUGUAACAUUAUUAGGAGAUGGUCUGCAUAAUCAUGUUCACUACAAAAGUAUACAAGAAUGUCAUCAAUGAAGACUAUGAUGAACAUGUUCAAGUACUGCUUGAACACACGAUUCAUCAAGUCCAUGAAAGUUGUUGGGGCAUUGGUGAGACCAAAUUACAUGACUAGAAAUUCAAAGUGAUCAUACCGAGUUCUGAAAGCUAUUUUUGGAAUGUCACAUUAUAUAAUUCUGAGCUGAUGAUAGCCUGAUCUGAGGUCUAUCUUAGAAAAAUAACUGGCACCCUAAAGUUGGCCAAACAAGUCAUCGAUUCUAGAAAGUGGAUACUUGUUCUUGACCGUGACUUUAUUCAACUGAUGGUAGUCUACACAUAUUCCAAGAGAAUCAUCUUUCUUACGCACGAAUAGAACUAGUGAACCCCAAGGAGAUACGCUAGGUCUUAUAAAUCCCUAGUCUAGGAAAUCCUUCAACUGUUCUUUUAAUUCUUUGAGUUUUGCUGGAGCUAUUCUGUAUGGAGGGUAGAGAUGGGCUGAGUAUCAAGAAGAAGGUCUAUUCCAAAGUCAAUUUCCCUUUCAAGAGGAACUCUAGGUAGAUCUUCAGGAAACAUAUCUAGGAACUCACAUGGUAUUAGAACUGAAUUAAGACUGUAAGUAUCGGAACUAGAAUCCCUAACUCAAAUAAGAUAAUACAUACAUACCCAGAUAUCAUUUUUCUCGCCCUUAGGUAAGAAACAAGCUGACUGCUAAGUGCUAAGGUACUACCCCUCCAUUCUAGGAUAGGUUCAUUCAGAAAUUGAAAUUGGACAAUUCUGUUUUUGCAGUCAACUGAGGCAUAGCAUGAAUGAAGCCAAUCCAUAUCCAGAAUGACAUCAAAAUCUGUCAUUACUAAUUUUACUAAGUCUGCUGAAGUGACAUUCUGAGACACCAUAAUCGGACAGUUUUUGUAUACUCAUUGGUCUAUGAUAGAUGUACCCACUGGGGUAGAAAUUGAGAAAGGCUCUGCUAGGAUUUCGGGACUGACCCCGAAGUCAACUACUAUAUAAGGAGUUACAAAAGACAAAGAAACUACUGGAUCUAGCGAAUCAUAAAUAUGCAAAUGAUGAACUUGUAACAUACCAUCAACCACAUUAGGAGAACUCUUCUGAUCCUGUCGAGACUGAAAGAGUCUGUUUUGGUAUUGCCCACUGGUGGCACUGAAAGGCUCACCCUAUUGAUUCGGGCGACUAGAUUGAGCUAGGGGAUGAUUAUGGUAACUCUACGAACACACCUAAGGAUACUGCUUGACUCUGUGGCCUGGCUUGCCACAUUCGAAACAUACAUCGCUGCCAGCUCUGCAAAUACCCAGAUGGUUUCUGUCACACUUUUGGCAGAGAGAAUUUGUUCGAGCAGGGCUAAAACUACCCUGGGGUUUAGGGACUGAUGCCCUAUCUCUAUUGCCAUCUCUGAAUUUUGACACUGGAGCACUGGCUGAAGACGAAGCUGGGACUAAAGAUUUCAAAUCAAAUUGAGAAUGAUUUCCACCCUCAAACUUAGGCUGAGUGAAGUUGAAGCUACCUGUUCUAGCUCUCUUGUUCUCCCUCCCUUUCUCUCUAUUCUUAGCCUCCUCUAUCUAUUGAGCAUAGACCAUGAUCAUGGAUUUGUCUAUCUCUUUAAUCAGCAUUGCGAUUCUAUACUCCUUGACCACACUGUUAGACACACCAGACAUAAACUUACUCAUCCUAGAUCUGCUAUCUGCUACCACAUGAAGGGCAUAUUUGGCUAAUUGAGUAAAAUUGAGAUAAUACUCUUGUACUAUCAUAUUAGCCUGCUUCAGAUUAAUAAACUCUAAAACUUUUGGUUUCCUCAACUCUAGUGAGAAGAACCUAUCCAGAAAAGCACUAGCAAACUCCUCUCAUUCUAUGGGCCCUGCAUAUGCGGCCCUCUCUGCUUUCCACUAUUUGAACCACGAGUGAGCCACAUCCUAUAACUGAUAUUCGACCAACCCAUCACUCUCACUAGCAGUCACCCCCAUAAUAUCUGUAACCUUCUGCACCUGAUCAAGAAAUUCCUGUGGGUCCUUAUCUGACUUCGACCCAGUUAAAAAGGGAGGGUUCAUUCGAGUGAAGUCUCAAAUCUUGGUUGCAGCAAUAUUGGCCACUAGGAUAGCUAAAAUGACAACUGGGUGUUUAUCUAGGCUACGAUAGAAUGAGCUAGGGUGGUGAAAGAUACUCUGCAUUACGCAUGGAAGACAGGAUCAUCCAGAGGAUCUGGCUGGACAGGCUGAGAUACUGACUGGUCUCCUAUUUCUCUUCUCUUAGUCCAUUUUAGAGGCAUGUUCUGUAAAGGGAAGGGAUUAGACUAAGAGUUUAAAUAGAGCUCAUGCUCACUCGCAUGACAUGAAUGCUGAAAGAAGUGAAACUUUUAAUAAGACAUCUAGUAGCCUCUUGUCCAUAAGUGUGGCGCGCUACACACCCAUGCAUAAGAUUCUACUAGAUGCGGCUUUUAGACUUCCUAGGACUCUGUUGAACCUUAGGCUCUGAUAUAAAGUUUGAAAGGCCCCGAGUCUGUACCCCAGAUGCUACAUGGUGCUAGCGACCCCAAAGGACCACCAGCUAACCCAUGACUAGUACCUGUUGUGAGCAUUGAAUAAUUAUAACACUGUAAUAAUAAUAUAACUAAAAUAAGUAAGAAAGUUAGGCUAAAAUGCCAUAAGUUUCAUAACUGAAAGACCAAUACUGAAUACUGAAAAAUGAAACAUCCAUCUGAAAUACUCUAGUCUGAAAGUCUCUAACUGUCUGAAAUAUAGAGUUGAUGGGACAAGCCCCCAACUAACUUCGACUACUAAAAACUAUACUAAAAUACUGAAAUAACACUCUGUCCUCGAACUAUGGGGACUCACCACUAAGUCUGCUGCUGAUAGGCUGGACUGCUAAGUACGGUCAGGAGCCCGCGCGUUUGAACCUCAGAUAUAAGACGUCAUAGUGUAAAAAAAAAGGUAUGCGUCAGUACUUUGAAUGUACUGGUAAGCUAAGUGAGGUAGGCUGAUAUGCAUGGGUUCAUAUGCAUGAACAAUAACAAACUGAGUAAUAUGAACAUAACUGAAUGAAAGAACAUGCAUGGAUACAUACAUUGCAACUGAUCAUGUCAACACUGGUUACUGAGUUUUGAAUACUGAUUAACUGGUAUCUGAGUUUACUUAUAUGGUAAUACUGAUAACUGAGUGACUGUUUCUGACAGUCGUGGUUAAUAACUGGGUGACUAUUUCUAACAGUCCUGAUUUUGUAGAACUGAACUGAGUUUUAUACUUAGUUGGGUGACUGUAUGUAACAGUCCUGAUUCUGUAGAAUUGAACUGAGUUCUAUACUGAGACUAAAACUGAAAUGAAACUGUGGGAGGUAAUCAUCUGACGAACUUGCCCUUCUCUGAAUGGAUUGGGGUCUAACCUAUAACUCCAAUUGGAAGGGUGUUAGUACCGUGCCAUGGGUAAAGAUAAGUUGUGAGUUAACCCUCUCUGACAGUAAGCUCUUUGGUCAACCCCCGCUGGCAGAAAAACUCGUAUGAAAUGUAUCAACCCUAGCCUGGCAAGAAGAUAUCUCAACCUACGCUGGCUACGUAGUUCUGUAACAUAGGAAUUGCUGCUAAGGGUCAAACCCUAUGCUGACAGGAAUCCCCCCCCCCCUUCCUUGGGUUCGCUCGGUGUUGAAUCCUACUCCUAAAUUAAUAGACACUUAAAUACUCUCUAGUUCAUACUAGGAUUGACUGAACUAUUAAUGAUCGUACUGUCUAACCAAACUGAACUGAGUUCACUGGGUUUCGCUAACUAACGGAGUACUACUGAAUCUGGUUAACUAAUUGAGUUCACUGAGUUCUGAAUUGAAUACUGAGCUGAGACUAUGACUGAUUACUGAGUACUAUUGUUCGUAAUACUAUUGAGACUAUUUUGUAACUACUAUAGCUUUAGGUAAACAACUAAAUUUUCGGGUAUUGGAUACCCAGGGCUCGAUAGCAUGAAAAGCAAAGCAUACAGUAAACUUGAAAAGCAUAACAUUGUGCAGUUAUUCAUGACUCAUCCAUAGAGAUAUUUUAUCAAACACUUGUAAGGCAUAAGUUUACACAUAUGCUAGCAUGUCAUGAUUUUUUCCAUUUAGUUCAUCUGAGCAUUUUAACAAACACUUGGAGAGCACCAAUAUGCACUGAUAAUAAACAUGUAGGCAUCAUAACAUCAAUUCCUAAAUUCACAAAUUCAAUGGCGUCAACAUUAAUUCACAUAAUACUACACACAUGAUAAUCAAUUCCACAUGAAAUUUGUAAUAAACCAUGGAUUAGAAACCCAAUUAACAUUAUAAUUAUGAAUACACUUAAAUCCAAUAAUGAAAAUCAUGAAAUCAAUCUACUUGAAGUUUUAAAAGAGUUUCUUGGACUCCAAGGGCGGAUGGAACCCUUGGAUAAACACUUCACAUACCUGAAUACUUGAAUUAAUGAAGGUUGAUGGUGAGUUCUUGAAUCUUGAGCCUUGAAUUAGAAGUCCUAGGGUUUUGUUCUUGAGUAAUUUUGAGAAUAGUGAAUGGAUUUUGCCUCUAAAGUGGCUAAAUCUCGUGUUUUUGGGGCUGAUAGACGUGGAAAAAUGACCCAAGUACCCCUGAGGACGUGGCUUUUUAAUGACUGAAAACUGGCUUAGCGACACGCAGACCGACGCCCCACGUCGAUCCCAUCGACACGAUGGCAACGUUCCACGUCAAGUCCGCGUCGGUUCACUGAAAAUUGCAUUGGGAGCUAGGGGAAAUAUUCAUCGACGCGAUAGGCAACGUGGCGUGUCGAGAUUGCGUUGAUACACUGGUUUGGACUCCCAAACAUGCUUUAAGCACUGUCUGGAAAAUCUGAAACUCGUCCGAGAAUACCUAAUGACAUUUCUAAUCAUGAAGCAACUUAAAGAUCGACAUUUAAUGGUCGUAAGAGUCACGAAAUAAGAUCGCCAACUAUGAAGGCUAAAAUAACUCUAAGUAUGAAUACUUUACUAAAAUUUUCUAAGUCUGGUACCCCUUAACAAGUUUUAAAGGACUGAAUUAAGCUUAGGAUUUUUGCGGGGUCUUACACUUAUCUGUUUACAUAUAUGUCAAUUUCUUGUGACGUUUCCAUACUUCAACAUUAAGGGGCCAUUUGGUAGUUGAUUUGGAGAAGAAUUAUGUUGAUUAAAUUUUGAGUAAUACUAUGUUUGAUAGUUAGAUAGGAGAUAAAUUAUUUAUCUAUAAAAUUAAUAUGAUGUUUGAUUUGUAAUUUAGAAACUCAAUAACUAAUGCAUGUAUACUUUAGGAGGAAAUCUAUAUAUUAUCUUAUGCAUGAUAAAAGUAAUACAUGUAUCAUAAAUACAUAAGUAAUUAAUUCUUGCAUAACUAAUAUUUAUAUAAAUAAUGUAUAGAUUUUCUCAUAACUAAUUUCUACGUCGCUAAUACCUGUAUAACUCUAACCGGCUAUAAAAUGACCUCUGAUUUACUUUAAAAUAAAUCCUAAAUUCAAAAAUGGACCUGUAACAUUCAAAUUUAACAAAGCAAAUAUCAAACAAUAAAUAGAAAACCUAAACAAAAUGAAAUAGACUAGACAGUAGCAAUCUGAGAGUAGGGUAGUGUUUUAAUAUUCAUGGUAAACAAUAUUUGGCUUAGUCAGGAUAUUGACUUAAAGGAUUAUCAGAGGACAGCUAGUCCCCCUAAAAAAAAGUAGAAUUAAAAAAAAAUUAUUAGUCGAUAUUUACAUGUUAAACAAAAUAAUGUGACCUUAAAUGGCAAUAUGAUUUGGGUUAAAGUCAGUGGCGGAUCCAGGUUUUCAAGAUUGUGGGUGCUCAAAAAAAUUUAUAUAAAGUAGUGUGUAGCUAAAGGGAAUCAAAUCCAAAACCUUGGACAUGAAAGUCACACCUCAAGCCAUUACACAUAAUCAUGUGUUUGUUCACUAGGUGCAUUUUAAUAUAUUAUAUCAUUUAUUCUGUAUUUCUUAUAUAAUUACAUCUAAUCUAUGUCGAGUUUAGUGGAUGUCGGAGCAUCCGAAAAAUACACAUGGGUCCGCCCCUAGUUAAAGUAGUUUAAGUGCUCUAUAAACUUCAACAUUAAUUUUCAUAUUGCUAAUGUAAUAGAUUUUUUGAUUCGGUCUUUUUCUCGAAUUCGCACAUAAUUAAAAAAAUUUAAUAUACCAAAUUGUCUUUGAAUAUUACAGUAUACUACAUUAACUUGACAAAAUUAUUUUUAAAUUAAUCGGCUAAAAUACAAACUGUCAAACUGUAACCAUCAAGAUUACUUUUUUUGAAACGUGUGCUUCUCGAGCUUCAAACGGCAUGAGUUUUAAUUAAUAUUUUAAAAUAUAUUUUUUAUUAUAUUAAUAUAAGAAUAAUUAUAACUUAUAGUUACAUUUUCGUAUACUUUUCCAACAUUUAAAUUUAAAACUUAAAAUAUUAAAUUAAUCUACUACAAUUUAGCUUUGAAAUUUAGCCAAACUAAUAUUUAAAAAGCAAAACAUAACAAGUAAAAAUAAACGUAAAAGGUAAAAUGACACAAAUACUGACUCUGAGAACAUUUAUUACAGUCAAACCUCUUUAUAACGUCACCUCAUUAUAAGACAUUUUACUAUAGCAACCUGAUUGUCUUCAUAAUUAAUUGUUCAUGUUAUAUUUUACUUUUCUAUAAGAAUUUAAGUUUUGUACACCGUCAGUGUAGAAAAUAUUCUACAUUAUCAGGUGAACUUGACUUGCUAAUGCAGGUUAGCUAACUUUUUCUUUUUAAAUUUUUAUGUAAAUAAUUGGAUAACCUGCAAUAGCAGGUCAAGUUAGCUGAAAGUGUAGAAUUUUUUAUACACUGACGGUGCACAGAAUUUAAACUCUUUCUAUAAUGACAUUCUACGUAUAACAACAAUAACAUUUAAUAUAUUGGUGCACUCUUUGUAAAAUUACCUCUCUAUAAUAGCAUACUCAUAUAUUAUGUAAUAAUAUUUUGUAAGAAGUAUAUUAUAUACAAAAUAAAAUACCAAAAUAUUUAUGGUAAUCAUGAACAUUCUAUACGACCUAGAGUUUAGUUAUUUUAACUUAAAAGUUGCCUAUGUGUGACACAAGUUGCCUAACGUGUUUCAAUAGAAGUAUAAAAACAAUAAAUAAUGAAUACGAUAGUUUUACAUAGAAAAUAACAGGCUCAUAAAAAAUGUAAAAAAUCACAACUUGUACCUGAAUUUAACCUCAAUUUCACUAAAUAUAAUGAACCACUUAACAAAAGAUUAUAAGUUUUGUAUCAUAAAUUAUAAACUCUAGCUCCCAACAACACAAAACCUCUCAAGUGUUCCCAAGUCUCUGAGUUGUACACUAAAAUUAAGAAUACAUCAAUAUUACAACUCGAUAAACACUUCCUAAUACAUCAAAGCUAAACCUCUUCGCUAGACUCAGUACUAGGACCUGCUUCUUAAAUGUGUUUCUUCACUAUUUGGGUUGCACUUGAAAAGUCAAUUUUGUCAAUUGUCCUUUCUUUUUUGGAAGUGAGUAAAUAACUUUGUUGGAUGGAUCUUCCAUUUUUAAUCAAAAAGUUGUUAAAGAGUUAUUCUUCAAUUAAACCUCCUCUCUAAUUCAGUCUCCCAUCCACAUGAGUGCUAUAAUUAAACUAGCUACAAUUCUUCAAACUCUUUUGUUAUUGAGUGUUGUAUUUGAACUCCAACUCUUUUAUUAUUCAACACAUAAUUAUUUCCUUGAGUUCAUCUGAAGUAAGCAUCAUCUGAUCCUUGAUUAUUGCACAUAUGUCUUAAUCCAUAGCACUCUUCUUACAAGUUAAGCUUCUUAAAAUAGUAUAUCCAUGAAUCUGCUUGACUUGUUUCAUGUCAUUUUCUCAAUCAUCAAAGAACUCAACAAUCUUUAAUCUUUAAUGUCAUGCACAUAAUAAAUUUUGAGUAUGAAUAUCUAAUUUAAAGAAAAAAUUAUAUUUAAAUAGUGCAAGAUUUUACAUAUUUUUAUUUAUAACAGCUAAAUAGAAAAUUUGAACGUCAAACGUUUUACAUAUAUAAUAGUAGCUUUCUAUAGCAACAGUUCUAAAUUUUUAAAUAUACAUUAUCAUUAUAAAGAGGUUUUACUGUAUAAAUAAAAAUCUCGAUCAAAACAUCAUUAAAUGCAAACUCAUGAGACUGUAACUUUCAUCUUUGGAAUGAUAGUAAUAAAUAAUUUUGAAUUCUAGCUGUUCAUACCAUAUACUGAGAAUAAUAUCAGCCUACCAAUAUUGAAAACCAAGUUGAUAGGUUCCCACAGUCUACAUCAACUUAAUAUCGUGUCAGCAAAUCUUAUUGUUAUUUAUCAUUUGGCAUAAAAUUCUCUCAAUAUAUAUCAUGACUAACAAAUUAAUUAUGGCACAACAUCUAGAAGAAAGAAAAACUGAACCCAAAUGUCAGCAAUGGAGUGCUUUGAAUGUUGAAAUUAAGACUAAAUUAAGGUUGCUCAAGAGUGAACUCUAAGGGUGUGCUUGGUAUGUAUGAGAGAAAAACAUUUUCAAUCAAAUAAUAUUUUCUUCAAAAAUAAGUGUGGUUUUUCGUGUCUUGACAAAAAUGUAUAAAAAUAUUAUCCAAAUAUAUUUAUAUAUUUUUUCUUUUAGAUCAUGUUAAGUGAAUUGUUGAGAUCUUAAUCCUAUUUUUUGAAAGAUAGACUAUUUUCAAUACACUUUUGAUUUAAGUAAAACAUUUUAAAUCAAACUUGAAAAGAAAAUACAAUAAUGAAGAUAUCAUAUUAAAAAAAAAAAAAAUUAAGAAAUUUGUUUUUCUAAGAGAAUAUUAAUUUUGACUAAUUAAACAAUCGUGGAAGAAUUUUCAAACACACCCUAAAAUCUCACUCCAUUUUAUCACUAUAAAUACCAUCUAAUAACUCCCAUAUAUCACACACCUCAAAAUAUUACAAUCAUCUUAUCCUAAGCUCUUUCUUCUUCUUGUUUAAGGCAAAUUAAUCAAAACAUUAUGGGUGCUUAUACCUUUACUGACAAGUCCACAGCCUCAGUUGCCCCAUCAAGGCUAUUCAAAGCUUUGGUUAUUGAUUUUAACAACCUUGUAUCUAAAUUGGCACCUGAUGUUAAGAGUAUUGAGAAUGUUGAAGGUGAUGGUGGUGCUGGAACCAUCAAGAAGAUGACCUUUGUCGAAGGUUUGUUUUUUAUUUUUUUUCGAGGUUCGAUAUUCAUAUUAAAGGUCGGUUAUUACUAGCCAAAAUUGAUACACGUGAAAUUUUGUCAGAAUAUUUUUGAAUAAGACAUUUUUUUAAUUUGAUAUUUGUAUAUAGCGAUCAUAAUAAAGAAAACAGUUUUAUAAGGUACUAAAAAUUAUACAAGAACAAAUAAAUUAAUUGCAACUAGUAUUAAUUGGACAAAUUUGAUUGUGACUCCCAUUUUAAUCCAUAUCAAUCCAAUUAUGGAUGGCUCAAAACCUACUUAUAUAUUUACUUAACCUAUUUUGAUCUAUCCAUUCCGCUCAUUUAAUACUUCUAUCAAUAAAUAUCCAUUGAAGGAUCAUUUUAGUAGAAAAAAUUAUUUACCUUAAUAUAUGAAACUUAAUGUUUUUUUAUUAAUGACAGGUGGUCCAAUAAAGUACAUGAAGCACAAGAUUCAUGUGAUUGACGAAAAGAAUUUAGUAACAAAAUAUUCACUUAUCGAAAGUGAUGUUCUUGAAAACAAAGCAGAAUCAGUUGAUUAUGAUGGCAAAUUUGAAGCUUCUGCAGAUGGAGGAUGUGUUUGCACCACAGUAACUGUGUACAACACAAAAGGUGAUUAUGUUGUUACUGAGGAAGAACACAAUGUGCACAAAGAGAAAGCCAAUGACCUUCUCAAGGCCAUCGAAGCAUACCUCCUCGCCAAUCCUUCUGUCUAUGUUUAAGCCAAUGACCUUGUUGUGAUGUUAUAUAUUUAAAUAAUUAUAAGUGUGUCAUGUUUAAGAAGUUUAAAGUUUUAGAUGAGAGGAAAAAAUCAGAUUGAUUAUGUAUGGGUUGUAUCAGUUCUUCUAAGGGAUUGAGUUUUAGGUU